AACCCGCGUCACCCUAUCAUCAAAGAACUCAAGGAUAGAGUUGCAAGCCACCCAGAGGUAUACAAACAUUAGACUCAUCAAAACUCUUUUCUGUCUAUUGGUUUAAAUCAGUUUGACUGAGACAAAAAUUCUAUCAGGAUAAGAGUGUGAAAGAAACAGCACAGCUCAUGUACCAGACUGCUUUGAUCGAGAGUGGAUUCAUACUCAACGACCCAAAAGACUUUGCGGGGCGUAUUUACAACUCCGUCAAGAGCAGCCUGAAGAUCAGCCCUGAUGCAGUGGCCGAAGAGGAAGUCGAGGCAGAUGAAACAGAGACCAGUGAGGAGGCUACUGAGACGAAAUCAGAUGGUGGUCUGAACAUUGAAGCCGAACCCGUUGAGAAAGAGACACCAACCAAGGACGAACUGUAGAAGAUUUCACUUUUGAUGUUUUUUUUUUCUUCCCUCAAGUUAAAAGCAGAACAUCAUUAUUCUACUCGUUAUUUCAAAGAUUGGUUUUUACUAAUUUGGUUUUUGAUGGAUUAUGUAAAAGCAGCACAACUUGGAUUCUAGAGAUAAAAGCGAAUCCUUUGGUUAUUCGGUUUAAUAGAUAAUGCAUUGAUCAAGACAUGUUUAUUCAUAAGAACAAUUCACUCUGCUCACUUUCAUCAAUGCCUUUUUCUCUUGCUCAUGAACCAACUGUACUUUCCGAACAAGUUUCCGCAGUUCCUAUCAACAGACAAUGAUCAGCCAAACAGAGAAGAAGAGGAACAAUAACCAAUAGUUAGUUUUGUCUUUUCUACAUAAAAUCUCAAUGCAUAGAAAGCAUCAUGAUGAAGAAAACUGUCUCUGAUAAAGAUGUAUAUUUGUCAACAAGGAUAAAUGCAUGUAGGUGGAAAAUUCGUUAAACCGCAAAACUCUAUUGGGACUUUGAAAGUUUUGAUAUACUUUGAGGGUGUUUUAUUCUUUAAUUAAUACUCUUAUGUUUCAAAAAGAAGUAUAUUUAAAAAAUUUAUACAUAUUAAUAAACAUACAAAAUUUUGAUUAUCAAUACAUUAUUUUUAUAACUAACUAUUCAACAUAACUUUAAACUAAUAGAAUUUUAGUAUUCAUAAUUAUGUUUUAGCAAAAAAAUAAUUCUAAAACAUGUAUCUUUUUAGAAUGGAAUGAGUACGAUAUAUUAGUGGAAGCUCCUUUACUCCAGUGGUUUAACUAAGGAUUUAUUAAUGCUUCUACACCAGGAGGUAUCGGGUUCAAAUCUCAGAAAACGCAAAUUAUGCAGAUCAUGGAGAAAAAAGGUUACAAGAGGUCUUCAGUAUGGUGCAAGAACAUAUCAUCGAACAUGGAUCUCAUAGGACGGCUCAGAACGAUGCAGUCAGACGUGCAUUCUCAUAUGAUGGUGGAAUUGUCGGAUAAUUCUGUCAGUUAAAUCAAAACUGCAAAACAUAAAAAUGUAAUUAUAAAUGUCAACAGUCUCAUAAAUUGUGUAAAUGACAUCAAAUGGUUUAUAAUUCUAGAUGCUUUUCGUUGGAUCCAUUUCUAAACUCAUUUUCUUUCUUAAUUUGAAUGCGAAAAUCAAUGAAAUUACUCUACCAGAGAAGUAAAGCAAAUUUCUUUCAGAAAAGUAUUGGUAUGUAUUGCAUAUGUAUUUUUCAACAACUUUUUAUAUGUAUUAAGGGUAUGACUGGUUUCCCCACUACCACCCGUAAAUGCAAUUUUUGCGGUUGAUAGCAUUGUUGGCGUUUUACAACAAUCAUUCCGCUUCAAAGCGCUCUUAACUUCAUAAAUUCAAAAGCUGGUUCCAGCUAACGUUUAUGGUUGCGGAAGGAUAAUUUUUUUUUCUUUUUUUUUAAACAAUAUAAAUACAAAAAUAAAAAUAUUAAAUUAAAAUUUUAAAUUAGAAUUAUAAAAAUAUUAAAAUAUAUCUAUUAUAUUUUAAUUAAUAUUAUAAAAUUUUAAAAUAAAAAUAUUUUCUAUAAUUUUAAAAAAUUUAAAACUAUAACUUUCUAAAUAUAAUUUUUAUAUUUAUUAUAAUAUUAUGAUUUUUGAUAUUUUUAUAAUUAUAUAAAAUAUAAAUAUUGUUAAUUUAUUAUUUAACCGUUGUUGCGUUUGCUAGUUAACCAGUCAUAAGUAUUUCGUAUAAAUCUCUUAAUACCGUUAGAAACUGCAACCACCCGCAUCCGCAAACUCCCGCAACUGUAACCGCAACCGUUGCGUUUAAACCAGCCAGGCCCUAAAUAUAUAUUUCAGAGAAAAGAAACAAAAAUAGUAACGUGAUCCAUGCAACAUAAAAACAAUCAUAUAACUAUCCAAGUUUAUUUAAAAAUAUAUAUAAACAACAAGUUUGAAAAAGGACAGAAAACAGAUCAAAUAGAUAAUGCUCAUCAAUGUCAAGCAGACUGAGAGUAUGGGCAAGACAGAGUUUGUACCGACAAAUGUUUCUUCUUCUUCUUUAUGGUUUUAAAUUCCUUUUAAUCAAAAAAAUAUUCAUUUAUUUGGUUCUGUGUUCUUCUGAAUAAUAUAUUGGAAUCUAUUUGUGUAGUUUGGUAGUUUAAUUCAAAACCAGAAUACGUAUAUGCUAACUGUGUGCGCUCAUUGGAUUACAUAGAAGAGGAAGAGAAGAGUCAAGAUAUGAGAGACAUUGUGGCUUACAUGUUCGGCCUUUCGAACACACAUACAUUGUCCACUUGUUUCAACAAAAUAUCUAGAAUAAAAUAAUUAACAUAAGAACAAUAUCGAAUCAAACAUACAUCAUGAGCAAAAAUAAAUCUUGUCCGAGUAUUAGAUAUAUGUAUAGUAAUGAUAAGUGCUAGAUAUAUACAUAGAAGUAUGUAAAAAUCUUAUUAAAUAAAGGGUUUUUAGUAAUUAAACCCCUCAACUAAAGAUGAAUCGUAAAAAAAACCCUUAACUAAAAAUCCAGUGAAAUAAACCCUCAACUUUAGUUCCGUUAACAUAUGUUACCCUCCGUCUAAAAAACCGUGACGGAGGGUAACAAAUGUUAACGGUUUAUAAGUUGAGGGUUUAUUUCACUGGAUUUUUAGUUGAGGGUUUUUUUUACGAUUCAUCUUUAGUUGAGGGGUUUUAUCACUAAAAGUCAUUAAAUAUUAUUAAAUUAUUUAUUAUCAUUUAUACAUUGUUUUAAGAUUUAUAAGCCUUUAAAACUAAUUUAUAAAUUUUAAUACAUUAAUAUAUUUGUAUAUUAAUUUAUACAUCUUAAAUUUUAUAAUUUUUAAAACUACUUACAACUUAUUAUAACUUUGAAAUAUUAAAUUAUUUGAUAUUUGGCAAUAGUGAUAUAAAAAAAUUUGUGUGUUUAUAUCGUCAUUGUCAAAUAUGAAAUAAUUUAUAGUUUCUAAGUUAUAUUAAGUCUUAAUUAAUGUCGAGAUAAUUCAUCCAUAGUCAAUCUUUCUAUUUAGAGUAUGACGCACUUUUUCCUAUUUUCAUGAUUUCUGUCAUCCGAUUCAUACUUCUCCCCCUCCAAAAUAAUGCAUGAUUAUUUUUAUUCUCAUUGAUUUCUGAAUAACUACAUUAUAUUUUUAUUUUCUUGAUCAAUAAUAUAUUUAAAACAUAAAGUAAUACAAUAAAUCAAGAACAAUAUAGGAAAAUAGGAAAGUAUGAGCCUGAUGACGAAAAUAAUGAAAAUAAGAAAAAGUACGUCAUACUCCAAAUAGAAAGAUUGACUUCAUGGAUGAAUUAUCCUCAACACUACUUAAGACUUAAUAUAACUUAGAAACUUUCAAUUAUUUGAUAUUUGAAAAUGACGAUAUAAACACACAAUUUUUUUUAUAUCACUAUUGCCAAAUAUCAAAUAAUUUAAUAUUUUGAAGUUAUAAUAAGUUGUAAAUCGUGUUGAAAAUUAUUAAUUUAAGAUGUAUAAAUUAAUUUUAUAAUAGAUUAAUAUACUAAAAAUAUAAAUUAGUUUUAAAGGCUUACAAAUCAAUCUAAAACAAUGUAUAAAUGGAUAAUAAAUAACUUAAAAACCCUUUAAUGACUUUUAGUGAUAAAACCCCUCAACUAUUUUUGAAUCGUAAAAAAAACCCUCAACUAAGUUUUCAACAUUAUAAACCCUCAACUUAUAAACCGUUAACAUAUGUCACCCUCCGUCACGGUUUUUUAGACGGAGGGUAAUAUAUGUUAACGGAACUAAAGUUGAGGGUUUAUUUCACAGGAUUUUUAGUUGAGGGUUUUUUUUAAGAUUCAUCUUUAGUUGAGGGGUUUAAUUGCUAAAAAUCCUUAAAUAAACUAUGGAAAUAAAAGAUAGUACAUUUAUACAAAAUAUUGGCUCUUCCUUAACAUUUUACGGUAAUUUUUUUCAAAUAGCAUUUAAAAUUUUUGUCACAAAAAUAUCAUUUGAAGAAAAAAUAUCAAAAUAGUGUUUUUAUUUUAAAAUUUAUAAUAUUUAUUUUUUAUCUUUUAAAAUUUGAAAAUUCUAUCCCCAAAAUUUAUCCUUUAAAUCUAAAUCCUAAAUCUAGAUUAAUGAAUCCAAAGGUAAAAUUUUUUAAUAAAACUUAUUUUGGUUAUUUUCUUCAUUGAGAAUUUUCUUUGUGAAAAUAAAUUUAAAAAUGCUAUCAUAGAGAAUUUUUCUAUAUUUUAUUUAUUGACAUUUUGUAUGUAAACAUAUAUAUAAUAAUAAUCAAAUUAAUCAUCAUAUUUUACUUUACAUUAUACAAUAGUAUUCUAUUGGAUAUCUUGUGAUAUAAUUUACAUAUCGUUUCAAGAAAUAAGUAAUUUUUUACUUGAGAAACACUUGUUUUUUUACUUAAGAGACACCUUACGUAUUUGUUUUAAAAUUUACUUUGUUAUUUUUAAAGUAAAUUUUAAAACAAAUACGUAAGGUGUCUUUCAAGUAGAAAUUUUAUGGCACAUGUCGAUUAGACGAUCUUGACAAAAUUUCUCUGGCAUGCUCAGUUUAACUGCCUAAUAAUGCGUAUACGUGUUAAGAAAUGCUUAUACCGUAUAACGUAUUGACAAAUAUUAAAGCCGCGCUUACGAUUUAAGAAUAUACUGGAUAUUGACCCGUCCUCGAGAGGGCGGGAAUAUUUUUUGUUUUUAAAAUUUUUGCCUAAUAUAAUUUAUAUGUUUGUGUGUUUGUAUAAUCAUAUUUUUGUAUGAUAUGAAUUUAAUAGAAUAGAUAAUUUUUCUAAGUACAUUAAAUAAAAAUAAUUAAAAAAAAUGAUUAGUAAAGUAUUUUGAUAGUUUUAUUGAAUUUAUUAUAUUGUUAAACUAUAAAUUUGUGCCAUAGACUUUUAACACAUUAAUAUGGUAUUUUAUUUUCAAACAGUAAUUGUUUUUUAAAAAUAACAAAGUAUUGUUACAAUUUUGUUUAGUAAUAAAACAGUAAUUAAAUAAAUAUAUUAAAUAAAUAAAAAAAAUUUUCAUAAAAUUGGAAUUAUUUAAUUUCGUAUAUAUUUAUAAUUACAUCAUUAUUAAACAUAAUAUUACACAUAAUAAUUUUUAUAGCAAUUAAAAAUGGGUUAUGUAAAUCAAAGUCCAUGAUCCAAUUAUAAUGGGUUUCGUAAAUUAUAUGUCCAUGGCCCAAAUUGUUUUUUCCCCACAAAACCUUAUGUGAGCUUAUACUGUCUUAAUCAAGUUUUAAUUUUGUCGGUGGAUGAUGAACAAAAAAGUGAAAUCUCAUUCAGUUCUUAGAAAGCCGUAGAAGACUGUGGAAGCUGAAUCUGAGUGACUAUGUUCAAUUGAAACCAGAGAAGUUUUAAUCUGCUUUGCUCCUGUCAAGAUCUCAGGUAAUCUUUUGGCCAUGUGAUAAAUCUAUGUUCUUCUGUAAAAGUUUCAAAAAAAAUCUGACAAUUGUACUGCUGUGUGAACAUAUUACAAUUGUGUUAUGGGGUAAUGCUUCCAGGUAUGGAGCACCUUAACUUGAACACGCCAUUCUGACUUGAACGGUCUGAUGUCAGCCAAAGUCGUGAGUUCCAUGCUUAAAGGUAUUUUCUGAAUUAGAUUAAGUUUGUGAAUUCAGGUUUUAGGAAGUGUGUUAAGAGUAGAUUGUAGGAAUGAUAUUUAUAUGAGAGGAUGGCUAUAGAAACACUUGUGGAGAAGAAAAAAUUUAGUUUUUUAGUUUAAAAAUUGUUGCAAAUUACGGGAUUAAGGAGUUAGAUAACCAAAUUUCAAAAUUGAGUUUAGAAUAAUUGAUUUGAUUCCUGAAAUGUUCUUGUUUGUUGGAUAUAUAAUCAGAAAAAAAUAGAUAUGCUCCAUAUUAUUAGGAAACAAUCGACAAAACUAAGGUUAUAUAUUAUUAGCUAUCGUAAAUAUGGUGGAAAGUCUAGAAAAUAUAUUAGUAGACAAUUUAAAUGGUGGUAAAGUCCAGAAAAUAGUUUUUAAAUGGUCCCGAUUAGUAGGGGAAUUACAUAUAAAUAGAGGUUCUCUCUACAUAUUCACAUCUUUAUAUAAAUGAUGUUUAAUGUUUAAUUAAUUAAUAUCUAUUGAUUCAGUUAUCGGGUCCCCUGAUUAUUAGGCAUGUAGCCGUGUAAAAGAUAUGCUCAAACUAUUAAGGAGUGGUGGUUACUUUCGAAAUAGAAGGUCAUGUAGUGGUUACGUUUGAAAAUUAAGCAUUGCAGUUACCAUAUAAAAAAAAUAUGUAUUGUUGAAAUAAUUGUUAGACCCUACUUUUAUCAAUGGGUCACACUACUGUUUUAAUAGAAUAGAUGGUCCCGAUUAGUAGGGGAAUUACAUAUAAAUAGAGGUUCUUUCUACAUAUUCACAUCUUUAUAUAAAUGAUGUUUAAUGUUUAAUUAAUUAAUAUCUAUUGAUUCAGUUAUCGGGUCCCCUGAUUAUUAGGCAUGUAGCCGUGUAAAAGAUAUGCUCAAACUAUUAAGGAGUGGUGGUUACUUUCGAAAUAGAAGAUCAGGUAGUGGUUACGUUUGAAAAUUAAGCAUUGCAGUUACCAUAAAAAAAAGUAUGUAUUGUUGAAAUAAUUGUUAGACCCUACUUUUAUCAAUGGGUCACACUACUGUUUUAAUAGAAUAGAUUUAUGAGUUCUAUGGUUGCAAAAAGGAGACUAAUGGAACGUAUGAUAAAUCAUGAAAGUGAUUCAAAAUCAAUUAUCGAACCCCACUCAAACAGUAUGAUAGUAUUAUUCCAUGUUAUUUUAUCUUUUGAAACAAGGCUUGAUAGUAUUAAACUUUUGUUCUCCGAAAAAUUUCACGAAGGGAUUUGUCAAAAAUAACUCAAAACUUAAUUUUAAAAGUAAAAGUGUAAUUCAAAUUCAAUCAAAUGUAAGAACUCAAAAAACUAGUGAAAUUACAAAAAUCAUCUUAUGAUCAAACAAAAAAUUUGUGUUGAAUUUUAUUAUUAUAACCAAUUCGUAUGAGAAGACUUCUAAAAAAAAUAAGUCUUUUCUGAGAAAAUUUCUUUGUAAAUUUUUUCGUAGAAUAGAUCUUUAAAAUAAUUUAAUUUUUUUAUAAAAACUAUUUUGAUGGAGAAAAUAUUGAAAUCAUGUAAUUAUAAAAAUUUCUAAAUAAUGUUUAUAUUUAUAAAAUUGAAUUGUUUUCAACAUAGAUAAAUGAAUGUAUAUUGAGUUAUGAUAGUCUUUAGGGUUUGGUAAUAUGUGUUAUAACAUUGUUUGUAUUCUUAGGUUUAGAUUUCAGAAUCUUAACUUUAAAAACAAUUUACCUACAUGUGUCUAGUUUUGCGUAUACUACACACUCUAUAAGUUGAUUUUAAGUUUCAUGAAUUAUUUUUGCUAUUUAGUUAGUUAUUUGAUUGGGUUUGGGUUUGGAAAACUUAAUUUUCAAGAAGUCUUCUAACAUCUUCCCACCUAAAACAAAAUCUUUUAGAAGUCUUCUAUGGGAAAUCUUCUCAUGUAUUAAAUUUUAAAAAUAAUUAAUAAAUUUUAUAAAAAGUAUUUUGAAUGGUAAAAAUUAAACUCAUGUAAUAAUAAACAUUUCUAAAUGGUGUAAUUUAGUUUUAAUAAAAUUGAAAUAUUUUCAACAUAAAUGAGUAAAUGUAGAUUGAGUCAUGAUAGUUCUUGGUUUAUGAUUUCGUAACAUAUAGUAUAGUAUUGUUGGUAUUUUUACAGUUAGGUUUUGAAAUAUUAAUAUUUUAAAUUUUACCUAUAUGUAUUUAGUGACUAUCUAAUAACUUGAUUUUAAACAAAUUUUAAGCUUUUUUAAAUUUAAAAAAGUGUUUUUUGAUUAGUUAUUGAUUAUAGGAUUUAGAAGAAUUCCGGAAGAUUUCCCAAGAAAUCUUCCAAAAGGUUUUGUAACAUAUAGAGCAUUAAAAUACUUCUUGAGAAAAUUUCAUACAUGUGAAAUCUUCUAGAAAGCUUUCAAAGACUUCUAGUAAUUUAGAGUUUAGAAAACUUCUUAGAAGACUUCACGACAAAGUUUUCCAAUUCUUACUUAGAAGACUUCACGACAAUGUAUUUUGUGUGUUUUAUAUGUUAGAUUCUAUAGAUUCAAUCUAAUGCGACUGUUUUAUUUAUUAUUUAAGUAUAAAAAAUAUUUUUAAAGUUUUUCUCUAUUUUGACGUCAUUUGAAAUUUUUUGGAUAUACUGAUUUUUUUCAGAUUUGAGUCAUACUUUGUAAGAAUUCUCAUAAGAUUUUUUGGAAAGUUUUCUAAUGCUUUUUAUGCUAGAAUACUUCUAGGAAAGUCUUCCCUGGAAGUGAUUUCUUUGGAAGUCUUCUGAACCGAAAAUAUAAAACAUAAUUGAACUUUGUCUCCUUAUACAAAAAAAAACUACACAUUCUUUUUCUUCCUCUCAAAUGACUGGUACUCUCUAACCUCUUUCUAAUCUCUUUGAACUUGAAAACACCAAACUUUUUAUCACUUUCUCAUUUUUGUUAUGUUUUUCUCACUAAUUUAUCUUAUUUUUGUAGGAUUUUCAUUAUAUGGUUCUCAUCUUUCAUUCAUUUAAAGGUAGAUUUAUAAAUUUUGGAUAUUUAUUUUUGUGUGUUUUAUAUGUUAAAUUCUAAAAAGUUAUAGAUUCAACAUAAUGUGACUGUUUUAUUUAUUAUUUAAGCAUUAAAAAUUAUUUUUAAAUUUUUCUUUAUUUUGAAAUCAUUUGAAUAUUUUUGAAUUUACUGGAUUUUUUAGAUAUGAGUAAGAUUUUGAAAGAUUUUUUGAAAUUUCAAAUAAGUUUCAACAAAAAUAUAGGUUAUUUUAGGAUUAACUCUAAAUUUUAAGUCAUAUUUGAAAAAUUCCAAAUUUCAUAUCGACGUUUAAACUAAUGUUGCAUGUAUAUAAAUUCUGCAAAGAAAAAACCGAUAAAUGAAAACGCACAAACAUAACUGAAAUGUAAAAAUUUAAGCAAUUAAACUUUCAAAUAUUUGUCGACACCACAACUGAAAAGAAUACCAAUGUCUUCUAGUAAACCCAAACUAAAAAAAACAAAACCAAAAGAUGAAUCUAAACGGGUCUGCACGAAUAUUCAAUUUAUAUAGUUGAUACAUUAAAAUUCAAAAAAAAACAUAGAUAUGAAAUUCAUGUUUCCCAUCUGGAGUGAAAUCAUGGGUUAGAGCAAAGAAUGUGUGUCCAAUUAAAAAUGUUAUCUUCUAAACCGGACGUUUGUGGUCUGGUGGUAAAGGACUCACGGCUGUACGAUCUACCACCUAAUUUUGAAUCUCAGCUACUGUCGAUUAAAUAGAGUGAAAAUGACUGUUUCUCUUACGGUGGGUUUCCAGGCUUAACUCCGGUGAACGGUCAAUUAUUAGGCAAUAGUCGGAUCUUUUUCUUCUAAGGCAUUCGGAUACUAGGAUCAUCAAAAAAAAAAGUGUUUCUGAUAAACCCCCAAAAAAGGAGAGCAAAUUAAGAGUAUCUCGAUGAUCGUUCGAAUAAUGAUCAUGGAUUAAAUCUUAUUUCUACUCUGGCUUCGUAGAUAUUGAGUUGUAGAACCAAUCAUUACGCUUUGGCUAGUAGAAGACGAUUGGAACGACAAAUGGUAACUCGUUCAUGUUUGGCCAAUUAUGGUUGAGAGAGAGUGGAAACUAUCGUCUGAGAGAAUAUCAUCAGUAAGAAAUAGAUGAAUAAUUUCUAAAGUGCUAUUUUUCUUUUUGUGUUUGUUUUAUUUUGAUAGUUUCACAUAGAAUAUACAGAAAACAAAUACUAUCAGUUGUUAAUUUGUUAUAAACAGGAUUUUAGUGCUGUAUUUCUGGUCAAUCAUUAAGACGAAUGGAAAACUAAUAGUAUAUAUGUCUAUAUGAUAAACAAAAAAAUAAAAAUUAUUGAUUCAGAAUUAAUACAAACAAACUAGCUAUUCCUCUCAAGAACCAACGGUCAACAUUACACGUUGACUUAAGGGAAAAGUCGCCCACGAAAACUAAUAUACAAAAUUCAAAAUAAAUAGACAUGACCCCAAAAAAACAUUCAUAAGAAAAAAUAAAUCCCAAGAGAGUGGUUAUAUAAAAACUGUUAGAUGUAUUAAUAUAGCCACAAAUCUUGAGUCGAUGCUUGACGCAAUGCCCGCCAUUUGAUUCUGUCUUCUUAGCAAAGAAGAAAAACUAAAGAUAUAGUUAUAUAUUCCUUAUUUCUUGCUUCUUGUUUCUAUAGUUUCUUAGUAAUAAGUUUAAUGUUUUUAUCUUCGAGUCUUGAGUGUGGCAAUGUGAUCAAACCCUUAAGAAUCUUAAUAAGGAUCAUAAUCUCGAGUUCUAUCUGAACAUGGAGAUGAGUGAUUGAAAGACAACUUCGUCACAAGGGAUAGUGAGACCCAUGUCGUGCUCGAAUCCAAACUCUUCCUCAGCCAGUUGGAGGAGUGUCUGAAACUCAGGAUGAUCUAGCCAUGAGAUUGGGACCACGUAGCGACUACGUUGCUGACCAACGUAGACCGGGAAGUGACCCUUUGGCACGUCGUUGAAGUAGCAGUUACUUUGAUUCUUCUUUCCAAGACUUGAGCAUCUCUUCAAGAUUUUCUUUAGAGAUGCUGCUUGAGACGCUGCCACUUUGUUAGACUUCUUUAACGCCAUGAUUUGAGCUUAUUGAAACCUAACUUGUCUAGAGAGAGAAGAGAGAGUUUGGUCUGUUUUAAGAAAGGUGUGGAUGUGAAGGUGGUGGGUGGGUAUGGAGGGGUAUAUAAGGGCACAAGGAGAGAGAGAAACGGGAAGAGAUUAUUAAAUUUAUAAGAAAAAUCAUAUACUCGUAGAUAUUUUUUCUUUUUACAUAGAUUUUUUAGGUUUACGCAUGACUUUUAGAGGAUUUGUGACUAGGUUAUAUGUAUUAUAUACAUAACAACGACUAAUUCAUGCAGAAACACAUGAAAUGUUUUCCUUGGUGAUCAAUCUUAUAUUCAUGUCAAUGCAAACCAUGAACCCCGCGUAAUCCUGUACAAUCCGCGUAAAAUAUAAAUCUAAAGUAUCAUCAGAAUAUUUGUUUUAUUGGUAAAAUAUAAUAUUUAUAGUUUAUUCUCAUUAAAAUCUAACCACCUUUUAGCCAAGAAAAAAAACAAUCCAAACACUUGUUUUUUACUCACUCUAGUUUCUGAUUAUUAAUUUAUUAUUGUUUUGCAAGGUCAAUGUAUAUGCCCCAGAAUAACCAAUAGUAUUAUUUUCUUUCUGCAUCAAUUGAUAACUGAACUGAGGAAUAAUCAAUUUUCCUUUAACACUACAUAAAUUUAACAAAGAAAACACAGAAAAUGAAAUUCUUAUUUAUGUAACUUUAUAAAGAAACUAUCAUGUGGGAUGUAGGAAAAAAGGGAAAAUUUGAAGACAAAACCAUAAGAUAAAUAGAGGGGAAUAUGUGAAUGUAUAUGCAUGCAUACAAGUUUUUUUGAAAGUCUUAUAAAUAAGGUAGGGACUAUAACAGUGCCCUACAUUGUCUCCGUCUUGUAUAUUUUUUUCUAGACACAACGCUACAAAUUAAUUCAAGUGGUACCGGUUUCCUCUUCACUUAAUAGACACUCUUCUUCAGAUUUUGUCUCUACUGAAACUUCCAAGUUUAUUACAACUAAUAUGUAAAUAUAAAAUAUAGUGUGGCCGUUAAUAUAUAAUAUACCCGUUUUGCCAUAAAUUGAUUACAUUGGAAAAGGAUUACGGACGAAGUAUACGUGAGGCGUGAACCGAAGUACGUACUUGCAAAAUCACAUGUCUUUUCCUACAAUUAGAGUGGCCAGCCAACACUUUAAUGCCCAUUAUUUUUCAUUUCUUUUUAUUUAUCUACAAAUUAAUAUGGAAUAAAUCAACACAAAAAAAUUGUAGUUCCGUGGUUUUAUAUUUUUUUGGUUUAAGUGGAUCGAUCACCAAUGUCGUUUAAGAACAUAUUCCAUCAGAUCCAUAAUAUUUUUAACUUAGUGAACAAAGAUUAAAAAAGUUACAUUUAAAAAUAAAAGCAUUUUUAAAAAUAUAAUUUUAAAUCAUUUAACCAAUUAUAAAAAAAGACAGUAAAAUUUAAUUGCUUGAACUGUUUCCAAUAAAGUUAAAAAUAAUUUUAAAAUUUUAAAAUUUUAUGUAAAUUGAAACAAAACACUUCUUCUAAAACAUCAUCUCUAUUAUUAAAAGAGAAGUACCAAUAUAAAUUGCCUCUUAGUUUUCAAAAUUAUUUACAUUUGAAUGCCACUGAAGUAAUAAAUUUUCCUACCUUUUAGUAUUCUUGUCUUUUAUAGUUUAAUUAAUGCAUUUUAUAGUUUAACAAAUUAUGUUUAUUUAUUUAAAAAAUGUUUCCUAUAAUCUGGAUAAACAAUAAAUUAUACUUAAUCAAUGUCAAAAAUGUAACAAAAUUUUAUUAUUACGGGAUGGUUAUUUUUUAUUUUGGUAUAUUAACUACGUCUAAAAAACAUAAAAAUAUUAUAAAAAUACAUAAUAUAAACCAUAAAAUUUUAAAUAAUAUAUUGAAUUAUUUAAUUGUAUAAAUCAAAUAUAAAAAUAGAUAACCAUUUUAUUUUACAUUAAAAUUUUGAUCUAUAAAAAAUACAUUUGCACGAACACACGAGUUAUAUUUUAAAAAUAGAGUUGUAACAGUUGACAGAUCAAAAAAUAAAAUAAAAUUAUUCAUUCUAAAUUCUAAAAUAAUUGUGUUUAGAAAUAUAUUAAAUAAGUAUUUAAUAUAUAUAUAUGUAUAUAUAAAUUUUAAAAACAUAUAUUACUAUUUAUAUAAGAUAAAUAUAUUUUUUUUUGCAAACCAAAAAUAAAUACCUGCGCGGGUGCAUGGAUCAAGGUCUAGUUUAUAUUGAAAUAGAGAGAAUAUUGGUUAUUGAAGGUUCAUAUGACAUGUUGAAACGUAGGUCAUCCAUUUUUUGACCCAAUGGGAAAAUCACCUUAUAAAUUUUGUUAUAGUUUAUUUUACCAUCGAUUUUGGUAGGUUUGGUUAUAAAUCCAACUUGGUUCAGCUUUUUUGACAGUUGUAAAAACGUUGUUUUUUAAUUACCAAAAACCAAAAAAAAUGUUGUUCGCAUUAUCUAUGCAGUUAAUUAAUACAUGAGAAAAGAUCAAAUAUAUAGCUAAACUAUAUAACAAAUUGUCCACAUGUGAAAUUUUGAAAGUCAAAACAAAUGCUUAGGUUUGAACCUAAUCUUUUGUUUAAUUGAUAUUAUCAAAUCCAUGCAAGUUUCCAUCUCGUUUCUCCGAUGCAUUUUGUUCCACGUACUUCUGUCCUUUUCUGAUCAUUUUUUUUAAUUCCGUUUAUUUCAGUGUGAUGGCUGAUGAUUCAAUCAGCAUCCUCAAACAAUUUCACCUUUGGAUUUAUCACAAAUCCAAUGUAUAAUUGCAAAUUUAUUUAGACGGAAAUUUGAGUACAUUAAUCAAAUCCAAUGUAACUGCCAAAGAGGAAAUUUAAAAAGUGGUCGAAAAGGACUCAUCUUUUUGGCAAUCUCUAUAUUAAUUUAUCAUCUAAUUGAUUUUUAAUUAUAUGAAUACAACUUAUUUGUUUGUAACGGUAGUCGGUGUAACAUAUAUUUUAGACAGUAAAAGUGUUUCAAAGAAAAAAAGACAGUAAUAGCUACAGUUGUAGUCGAAAACAUCAACUAGAACAUGAAGAUCUAUAUGUAUGCUGAGUAACAAAAACAACUAUUCUGUAACAUCAUAGGGUACGUAUGACCAUAUGAGUAAUCAAAUCAAUAAGGACCCAAUAUUUUUUCAUCUGCUUAUUAACAAACACGAUAUGGUACUUUAAAUAAGUAGAACAAUUGGUUAGUGCUGUAUAUAAACUUUUGAUUAACAUUUUGGUUCAAAACUUUAAAUAAAGUACUAUCAUAUACUCUUUAUGUUCCUAAAUAUAAGAUAUUCUAGGUAAAACACACUUAUUAAAAAAAUUAUUUUUUAUUUAAAAAGUAUUAUUAAAACUAUAAAUUAAAACUAUUUAACCAAUUACAAAAUAAAAUUAUAAAAUUUGAUUAUUUACACAGAUUUUGAUAAAGUUAAAACUACUUAAAAAUACGAAAACAUCUUAAGGCAACAUUAUCAGUGGUCCAUUUUUUGGUCCUUAAAAUCUUUUUUUUUCUGUUUUCUGGUUUUUAAAAAAAAUAAAAAAAUAAAAAAAUAAACUUAUAGCGGGUCGCCACGUAUUGUGGGGUCCGUAAACAGUGCUAAGGGCUCAAUGCAAAAGUUUCUUAAAUUGGAACAUUAUGGCACAGUCAUUGAAAAAAGGUGGUGGGACCCACGCUUAAGGACUCUCCCACCACCACCAAUAAUGUUGGCCUUAUAUAUUGGAACGGAGAGAGUAUAUGUUAUAACAUGUGGUAUACAUCUCACUUACAACUAGUAAAGUUAGUUUAAGAUAUUAGUCUGAAUUAAUAUCUAGUCUCCUAAGAUUUGUUUUCAAUUUUCAAAUAAACCUUUCAAAAUUGUAUUAUGUUUUAGAGAUUUUACGAUAUAUCAAGAAAUAAGGACACAUGUAAAGAAUUAAGAUCAGAUCUCUCGGUCGACAAAUAAGAAAAUAGGUUAAGUGUUUGGCUUUACCUGCAACAUAAAGGGGAGAGAUAUAAUUAAAUUUGUAUCUUCUUAAAAUUAUAUGAAAAACGUUAAGAUGGAACUGUUGUCGAAAAGGGAAGAGAGGAGAAAAGUAAAAACUACACCUGAUUUUUCCGUAUUUAUAGCAUUUUAACAAAAAUGAAUGAAAACAAAAUUAAGAGAUGGUGUGUGUAGGGACAAAGGAGAAGGAGCCUGUGAGAGUAUUAAUCAGGUGGAAAUGAAAUAUAACGAAAGAAACAAUACAUGGCUGUCCGGAAUUGGCGCUUCUGUUGUGGUUAUAACUUGUAGACAUCCUUCACAGUCUUCGUUACCCCACUCUCAAUUCAUCAUCAUCUUCAAGAUCUGAUUUGUUAUUUAACAUGAUUCAAAAUCUUCAUAAGAUUUGAAGGUCUUUCAAUUUACUAGAGUUGAAUUUUGCGAGUCUACAAUAAAAUCAAUACAUUCAGAACCUUUUAAGAAUGGUACAAAAGAUGUUGAUUUGAUAACGCAGGUAUGAUGUGAUGUAGUUACAAUAUUCAAAACUACCGAAGGGACAAGACAGCUCCUAGCGACAGAAGGUACAAAACAAAUAUUAAAAUUAAUAUAUAUUUUGAAAGAGUUCUUCCCUUAUUUUAUUUCCUUGCAAAUUCAGUUUUCCAAUUCAAAAGUAUAAAAGGGACAGCUCCUAACGACAAAAUGCAAAAAAGGAAUAUUUGAACUAUGAUUUCUCUUAAUAAAAAUCUUAAAAUAUAUAUUUCGAAAAUAAAGAUAUAUUUUCUUAAAGAAUCUUCUUAUUCCUCCUUUUUAACAUCCACUAGAGUUUGACCCGCACGUGUCCGUGCGGAUAUUUUUAAUUUUAUAAAUAUAUAACUUCAAUAUUAAAUAUUUAUAUUUACAUUUCAGUGUUAUAUGUAUAAUAGCAUAAUCCCAACACUAUUAAAAUAAUAAUUUUUACAUUAAAUUUUGUGAUUAAUUAUUAUUAUAUAAUAGUAUAUUUUGAUUUCGGUACAAUAAAUUCAUUAUCAGAAAUAAUUAAAUAGAAAAUAUCUUAUAAAUAUGUUUUUCUAAUUUCUACAGUUUGUACACACAUUUUUCAAAAUUUUAUUUAUUUAUACUAUAAAAAUGAUAUUUUCUAAGGAUAAUUUAAGUUUUCAUAUUGUGUUUGAAAAAUAUAUAUUUUAACAUCUAUCAUUUUAUGAUGUUGCAGAAUUUUAUAAGUAAAUACAUUAUUCGGUUUAAUUAAUUUAAACUUAUUAUUUUAUUUAUUUUUAUACAUAGUAACACAAUCCUAUUAUUUGAGUUAAUAUUAUCGAUAUAUAAUGUUUUUUUGAUGUUUUAUGACUUUCAAAUCUUAUACUAAAUUAUUGAAAUAUUUUAUUAAAAAUAUUUUUUUUUUAUUCUUAGCAAAUUUUGUUAUCAUUAUAGAUAGACAUUAAAUUUAUAGUCAAAACUGAUUUGUUAUUAAUAUUAGUUUUAUUUUAUUUUUAUUUUCAAAUAAAUUUUUAGUUAAUAUUAAUUUAUAAUAAUAUUAUGUUACUAAUUAUGAAAUUAAUUAAUGCAUUAUUUUAGAAAUAUAUUUAAAAUUUUAUUAAGAUUUGGUUAGAUCUUUUUCAUUAAAAAUAAAAUUUAAAUUUAUAGGUAAACUACUUUGUUAUUAUCAUCUUUAUAAAUUAUAAAAUUUCUAGAAAUGAUAUAUAUUUGAAUGAUUUGUAAAUAAUCAAAGUCUAAUGAAAUAGUUAUACUUUUGUACAAUAGACUUUUUGUACUUUCGUUUUAAUAGAAUAAAUAAAUAUUUUGAAGACUGUUUUAGAUAUGCAAUUAUUUAUUAUAUGUAGUUAGUAUUUUACUAAAUUUUCAACAAAUUUAGAUCAAUUAAAUGAACAUAAAAUGGUAUUAAUUAGUCAAGUUAAUUAAUUUAAACAUUACUGAAUAUUAAAAAAAAAUACGUUUUUUGCAAAUCUAUUCCUAAUUAAGUUAUUUGUCAGCGAAAUUGUCAUCAACAUUAUUAGAAUUAGUUUAAACACAUUAACAUGUUUUUUAUUUUUCAUAUAUUACGAUGAAAGAUGAACAAAUAUGAAUUGAUUUUAUUACGUUGUAUAUUAAGCUGAUGUCACUUGUAGUCAAUCUUGAAGGCAUCUUAUAGGCAAAGACAAACAAACGCUUAGCGAAAUAAUGUUCGGAUAAGAUCGGUUUAGUUAUCAAUACUAAUACUAAUUGAAAUUUGUAUUGUUAUUGUAUAAGUAGAAAACCGGAGCAUAUGGUUUGUGUAAAGUUGGUUUGAAUUAAGUAACUUGGUUAACAUAAGUGAUAUGUGUCAUGCGUGUAUAAUAAAUGGUAGUAUUUAGAAUAGGUCCAAUUUUAAUUGACAACAUUUCACAGUAGAUAAAAUUAGGACUCUAUUUUAAUAGAGUAGAUUUUCUAAAAAACUUUAAAACUGCGUACAUAAGAGUUUUUGAAUAGGAAAACCCUUUAACAAAAAAAAAGAAGUGUUUUUGAAGAGAUUAAAAGGUACUUAGCUAAAGAAUUCACCUCAAUAUGGGAAUAAUACCUUAACAACCAAUAGAAAAAAUUAACAUAAUAUAUAUAUAUAUAUACACAUAAAUAUUUGCUAACAAAUAUCUAAAAUUGUUCAUAUAAACAUAUUUAUAUAGAAAUAAUUUUUAAAAAUAUAUAAGCAAAGAUAUAAAGUGUGAACAUGAUAUUAUCUACUCUCACGUAAAUCCGACAAAGAUAUAAAGUGUGAAUAUGAUAUUAUCUACUCUCGCGUAAAUCCGACAAAUGUAAAAAAAGUUGUGUUAUCCGUGACAAUACUUAUAUCAAGUAAAUUAAUUUAAGGGCAAUUCUAUCAAAUAUCCAUUUUUUAAGUUUUUGUCACAAAAAUAACACUUGAAAAAAAAAAGAUCAAUAGUCCCUUUUUACCUUAAAAUUUUUAAUAUUUGUUUUUUAUUUUUUAAAAUUUGAAAUCUUAUCUCCAAAAAUCUAUCAUUUAACUCUAAACCCUAAGUCUAGAAUAGUUAACCCUAGGGAGAAAUAUAUUUUUAUCCUUUAAUAAAAAUUUUUGGUCAUUUUUCUCAUUGUUUUUGUAACAAAAAUUUAAAAAGAGUUAUCUUAGAAAACUUCUCUUAAUUUAAUGUAUAUUUAAUGUAUAGAAUUAGUUGACAAAUAUAUAAAAUGUUAGUUCCACAAAGUAAAACUAAAGAAAGUUGACCGAGAGCCUGUGGUCAAGUGGUAAGGAAAAUGGUUUGGGAUAUCAUCUUAGAUUCGAUCAAUCUACCAUGCGAAACUAAAUUAUAUUCUCUUAGUCAUCCUACACGGAUAUAACCUACUGCUUUUCCGUCUAUUAAUUGAAUAUCCGAAAAAAGUCUAUAUGUAAACUGCAUUUUUUAUCCGAAAGUUAUGUUUGUGUUUUUAACAGACCCGGGUUUAAUCCUUUUAUUCUAAAAAAAACAACUAAAGAAAGUCGCAUUAGAGUUGCUCAUAUCCCUUAAACACUGUACGAUCCAUGUCUGCAAAAAUAUAUGACUCCCCCAUGUGGCACGGCACCUACCUCCCAACAAUAACAACUCAGCAAAUCUUUAGCACCACAAGCUUAUGAUAUAUUAUUUCCUCUAAUAACAUUUGAGCCACAAAAUUGAUUUUGGGUGAUUUAUGAUGAGAGAUGUUUUUUUUCUCCCACCACCACGUUCUAAGGCCACAAGAGUAAACCAUGUCUUCAGUCUUUCUACUGAUUACAACUCUUUGCAGUUUUUAAAUUACAUUUGAUGUGAGUCUAAUCUGAUAACUAUCAGUGUCACAAUAUGUACUCCAGUUUCUCCUUAUGAGAAAAAUAUUUGAAUGUGUUUAUUCUUCCAGUUCUAGAGAGACUAAAGAAGUUAUUUCAAAUUGUUUCCUGUUUGUAAGUGCCUAAAAUUGGUGGAUACUCUCAUGUUCUGUGAAUGAAAAUGACCAUACGAAAAAUGAUUUAUUACAUUAUUUGUAGAGGAGACAAUGCAUGUCGAUGUCACAAUAAUGGAAGACUUUGAUCGUUUCUACUUGUGUUUUCUGAAUUUUCAUCUUUACAACGAAAACAUGAUAGAUUCGACGACCAAUAGAAAGUUUGGUUUUGAUAAUUUGGCCCCACGUGGCCACGUGAAAACAUAUAUGUCACGUAUACAAGUUUAACGAUCUUUCAGCUUGUUCUAUUCUUUGCAAGUGUAACGGACAAUGGCCAUUGUGGCAGGUCCCAGUUCAAAUGACUAUUGAAACGAAAUUAAUAUUACAUGUUAUGGUUUUAGGUCUGGGAGAUUACGGGCUCACUAUAAGAAUUCAUCAAAAUAGUUACAGAUUGGCGAAAGAAAUUCCGUAGCCAAAUUCAUUAGCUAUAGAUAUAGCGAUAGAACGCAAAAUUUUAAUUUUGUAGUUAAUUGUAGCAAUCCGUAGCGCUAUAUAGCUAGAGAUUGAUUUUGUUGUUGAUCUAUAGCUAAAUAGCUACGCUUUGGCUAUGGAUAAGUGGUUGCUAUAAUUGUUCUAUAUAACCGUCAUUAGCUACGAUUGUUUCUAUUGCUAUAUAGCAACGAUGUCUCUGUCCUCACCAUUCCGUCCGCUUUGAUAACAAUACUAUAUAUUAUAAAUAAUCAAAAUAAUCAAAAUUAUAAUAUUUCAUAUAUAUACAUAUGAAUAUAUAAAAAUGUUAUAUCAUCAAUUAAUAUUUUCAAUACAAAUACAAAUUAUGAUUUAAUAUAUUUUUAAUCCACAUGUAUUAAACCAUAUUAGUGUAAUGGAAGUAAAGAGUAGAUGCAUUUGUUGGUUUAAGUUUAGUCACUCAUAGUAAUUAUCAAGCAUUUUUUGUUAGGUUUGCAUUGAACAUUAUUGCUCGAUGUACAUAACUAGUUCUAAGUGUAUAUUAAUUGUGGCAUUGAUCAGUUUAUAGAAUGAGUUCAAUAGUGGUUCUUCUUUCAUCACUCUUGUCAAAUACAAGAAAAAGUUUAAGCCUUGUAACAAGAAAAAGUAGUUCAUAAGACAAAUUAUUGAAUUGUCAAGGAUUCAAAACGUACGUAUGGAUGUAUGCACGCAUGUCUUUGGUAAAAUCUCUUAAAAGCAUUUUGAUAUUGUUUUGGUAUGGUUAUACUAAGUAACAAAAUUUCAUAUUUAUUUUCUUUAGGUAAGUAAAGUUCUUAAAACGUUAUGGAAGUUCUUUAUAGAAGUUUUAUUUUUGGAUGAUACAUAUAUGCCUAAGUCCUUCUCCAAUCUAACAUGAGUAACUUUCUAAACCCUAAAUCUAAACACCAAAUCUAAACCCUAAACCCUAUCUAUCCUCUCAUAUAGUAAAGAACUAAAACAAACUAAUUGUGUACUACAAGAAAUUAAAAAAUAUAUAUAUAUGAUUUAAUAAAGUAGAGUCAUAAUGUAAAUACUAAACCUCCUAGUAUUCAAAGAAAAAUGUGUAAGUUAUGUAAGUGUUAUACAUAUACCAAAUGCAAACUCAAACGUUUGCAUUUGAAAAUGAAAAAGUUUAGAGUUAUGUGAUCUUGAAACUAGAUCCGUGUGCGUUUCUAUAACCUAGUUCAAAUAUAUGCUUUCGAAAGUACUAACAUCAUAUGUGUGGUUAUGUUGAUAGUGCUUUCAUAAGAAACUCAUUGACUCAUUGUAGAACACUUGUUAGAGCAUGAAAUCCAGACUCCAGCGUCUGACGUUAUAUGAACAAACAUGUGAUGUUUGUGAGAAAAUCUUCCAAUUGAUAAGUUCAGAAACGAUGCCAACAAAGAAGCAACAACUUAGCAGGUGAGCUUCCAACAGAUCAACUAUGAUUGCUUUAUUAGAUUUUACUCAAUGGGCUUUGAAGCCCAUUGGACUAAAUACUAUGGUUGUGUUUUUUUUUCUUGCUAAAAAUUAUGGUUGGUGUUUUUGACAUUAGUAAAUAGUAAAUACUAAAACUACCCCUCUCGGUGGGUUAUAACUUAUAACCUAUCUCUUAUAUAUUAAAAGAAAAAAUUAUGAUUUCACACUACAUUAGAAAUACGGAAACCUCGCAUCGAUUUCAAUUUGAAUAUACUGAUGUGUCAGCCUUACAAUCAUUUAACAAUUAAUGUGUUUACAUAUUAAUUUUUUUUAAUUCUACAGCAGACAAUUAAAUGUGGUCACACUAAUUUUUUUUAAUUAGCUUAAUUUUAGUUCUUACAUUUUUUACUUUUUUAUUAGUAAACUGAAAUUAUUUCUGUACAACUACUGAAUAAUAUCAUUUUGAAAAAAUAAAUUAAAAAAUGAUUAAGAUUCACAUCAACUAAAAUGAUGGUAUGAGGAUAUUUUUAGAAAUUAAAAGUUCUGUAUUUGUCGAACUUAGCCAUGGUUGAGGCUUCUGUACACGAAUGCAAUAAAUAAUUGUGAUUGGUUAUGAAUUAAAGAAAAUUGAGAUAAAAAAAUAUCACACACAAAGUCGGAUCUUUAAUUAAGUCAAAUAUUAUUUUUUACAGAGUUUUCAUAUCAGACCAAAAAUUAUAAAUACAAUCAGAUUGCAAGAAAAAAUCAGAAAUCAGAAAAGUUUGAUAAGAAAAUUCGUGAAAUCGAUUGAAAAAACAGAAUUCGGGUGUUGAGUGAGGAGAUCACAUUAUUUUCCACGCAACUUUAACACUUUUCACUCGAUUGUAUCGUGUUUUUGUUAUAUUUACCAAGAAUAUUUUAUAAGAAAACACAUGUUAUUGGUUUUAAAGUAUAGUCCAAUAAUUAUGUACUAGGAUAAGACAUGCGCUUUACGCAGGGUGAGUUUAUUUGUAUAUAAUAUCGACAAUUUUUUUAUAUAUUUGAUCUUUUUUUUAUACAUAUACAAUAUUUUUUGUUGUUAUUAUAUAAUUUCUUUUCGAUAGACCGAAUCAGUUUUUAUUAAAAAUUGUGAAACUAAACUAUAACAAUUCUAUCAUGGAUUGAUCGGAUUAGACAUUAAAAAAAUUACACAAAAACCAUUUUUUCUACCAAACACAUUCUUGAAAAAGGUGAAAAGUAUUUUUACCACAAUUGAAUUAUUUUGAAAUUUAUCUUCCAUAUAGUUUUGAAAAGUUUCAGAUCAACCCUCGAAUUCAUACAUGUCAUUUUAAUAUUUUUCGUCGUAUGUUUAAGGAAAACUUACACUUUUAUAAUUUAAAGUCGCUUUAAAAUUUUCAAAAUAUAACAUAUAAAAAAAUAACAUAUAAGGUUUCCUCGUUUUUGUAAUUUAAAGUCGUUUUAAAAAAUUUUAAAUAUAACAUAUAAGGUUUCCUUAUUUUUUUAAUUUAUAGUCAUUUUAAAAAAUUCAAAAUAUAAUAUAUAAGAAAAAAUCUAAUUUUUUUAUUAUAUGGUUAAUAUGAUUGUUUAAUUUUUUGAUAAUAUAAAAUUAAACAAAAAUGAAGAAUGAUUCAAAAAAUGUUAUCAAAUCUUAAUUAUUCAUAGUCAUUAAUUGUCAUAUAUAUGUUAAUCAUAUUAGGUAAUUUUGUACUUUUAUUUAAGGAAAGAAUACACGCUUCUUAUAUUUUAGGUUAAUAUAAUGUUUCCUAGUAAUUGAAUUUGGACCAACAUUUUUCAAUUGAUUCUUAAGCUGUCACGUAAGCUAAAUUGAUAUCAUAAUUAAGUGACACUUAAGCAUGAUCUCUUUUUAAUUUGAAAAAACUUAAGGUUACAAGUUUUUAAAUGAUCCUCAAUUAAUAUAUAUGAGGUGUUAAAUAAACCGUGAAUAUUUUUUUACAUUUAUUUUAUUUUGCUUUAUAUUAGUAGAAUAAAGUAAGUCUAGGUAAAACAUCAAGAUCCAAAGAACCAAAUUGAACUAGAUUUGAAAGUAAUACUAAACAUAAACUAAAAUUGAUUAAGUAUUCAGAUGGAUCUAAAAGUUUAAUAUCCAGAUAAUCAGAUCCAAAUCUAAUCCAAACUAAAAUAUUUUGGAUACCAAAAGUAUUUAAAUCACAAUUAUAUAUUUAAAUAUGUUAAUUAUUUUAAAUUUUAAAUUAAUAUAGUCACAAGUAAAUAUCUAAAAAUAACAGAAAAUAUUCAAAAUACUGAAAAUAUUUAUUUGUUCUCCAUAUAACAAAUCUUUUGGAAUAACAUACAAUAAAUAAUCUAAUAAACUAUUUAACUCCUUUGGGUUAUUACCUAGUAAAUCAUUAUUAGUCCGCCGUAGAAGUUUUUGGAGUCCAAGACUCAAAAAGAGGAUCAAAAGUAAACGAACAUCUCUUCGUUCAAAAAAAAAAAAGUAAACGAACAUCUCUUCCGGCCGUACAAACCGAAACUACGAUAGUGUGUGAUACGCGAUAGAGAAUGGAGCCAAUCGACAACAAAAAACAACAUUUUCCCCGCAGGUAUCAGCCAUCACAUCAGAUCUUAAGAUUGAUUCGGAGUUUCUAACCACUUGGCUACCUUUUUUAUCUAGAGAUCUCUGCUGAGACUGCGUCCAUGUGCUCUUAAUCAAUUAUGGUGGAAAGUGGAAAGUACAUGUGUCAACUUCUCAAAUGGUUUAGGUAGCAAACAAUAUUGAUGACAAACUUACAAUUAUGAGCCCUUUUUUCAAAAAAAAAAAAAAAAAAACUUACAAUUAUGGUAUUCUUUUCGUUUUAUGAUGUUUUUCUAGAAAGAACACCAAAACAAAAGAACGUUUAACCAAGUCAGAGACUCAGUCAGAGGUAAGCUGUUUUGCCUUAAUAGUGUCAGGUGUGGCAAAGAAUACAGAACCUAAUGCAAAACAAGCUUACCUCUCUGCAAAAAGACAUAAAAAAGCUCAUGUCACAAAGCUGUGGUUAUACUUAUUCAAAUAUGGGCGUCACCAAAAUUCCGAGACACUAAACCGGUGAUGAUAAUGUACUAGUCAGAAACGCGGGAUUGAAUCUACUGAACUAAGGUACACCGUACGUAGUCCGUACGCAGAACCUUAUCGGUGUCGGUAUAUAGCUAUUGCUUCUAUCUCUCGAGCCUUGUUGACCAAUGUGUAACGUUGCUGGAUUUAGCUUCUUUCACGUUCCUGUCUCUAUCAUUUUAUAAUGUAAUCGCUUCAUUCAUGUGAUUAAUUAAUUAACUUUUAGCUUUGUAACGCUGUAAAUUGCUAAAUGUCGAUAUGGUAAUAUACUAAUGGUACAAGUCGCAGAAAUAUAAUAAUCAGGUAUAUUACUUAUUCACAUGGAAUACGUAUACGCUCUGUUCUAAAACUCGGACGCCUAGCUGAGUAGGCGUCCGGCUCGGCGCUCGGCGGCAAGCAACCGCGGCGAAUAAGGCCAAUACGGUUCAACUACUCGGUUGACCAACAAAUCGGUCAAAUAACCGCUUAAUCGGUUUGAAACCGAUUUUUAACCGCCUAAAAGGUCGAACAAAUUUAAACUAUUGGGCUUCUUAUAGAUUGAAACCCGAAUGCAAUUUUCGAAACCAACCCUGAAUGACUACUUAUAGGCGUCUACAUCAGCUUCCCUCUUUAAAGUUUACUGAUGUGGGACUCUGUUUCGUAUGUUUCUAAAAUUUUUUUACCUAAAAUUGGAUAAGCCAUGCCCGAGGUUCGAACCCGGUACCUUAUACAACAUCAACAUCAUCAAACACCAGCAGACCAAGGCGUGUUUUGAUGUUUAUGCAUAUAUUUCCUUGUAUAUAAACUUUGUUUCAAUAAAAAAUAAAAAUAUGACACUCAUCUUUGCUAAUAAUUAGUCUUUGUUAAACAAAAUAAAUAUAAAUUUCGAUAAUAACAUACCAAAAACUAUUACAUUCUACUAUAUUUAUAUUAUAUAUCUAAUUUAAAUAUUAUAAUAAAUAAAAUAAUAAUAAAAUUAGUCCCCGUAUAUACCCCGAUUAAUCCCCGAGUUUUCGAUAAAUCGUUAGGCCCGGAAUUGCCGUCCGACUAGCGCCUAGCGUAUUUUCAAACAGGGCGUACACGUAUGUAUGUGUAAUGUAGUUAUGUAUUAUUUUAAUUUAUAUAUAAAUGGAAUAUGACGAGAAAGCACAAAAUUGCUUAUAGUAAUAGAAGGGAAUGGUGUCAAUCUUCUGACGUCACUUACGAAGUUACGAUUGUUUUAUACAAAGUAGAAAAGUUACGUUAUUUGGCUUUUAAAGAUGUCAAAAGUCUUGAAGAUAAUCCUUCUUUGAUUAAUUUUAAAACCGGAACAAUGUGUCUUUAUUUUUUGUUGAAAGUGUUGAUCAUCCUUCACAGUUAAGCUUAAAGGUAAAGGAAAAAAAAAAAGACUGAUCGAAUGAGUAUGAUCCACAAGAUUUAGAUAAAUUAAAGUUUUAUGAAAAAGAAUUGAUUCGACCGGCACUAACCACACCAAUUGGAAUUUGAUAGCAAGCUAUCGGCACGUGUUUUGGGUAUCAAAGAUGAUCAAACACGUGGUUGGAGAAGUAGAGAUUACAGUAGUUUGCUUAAAACAAUCACUCAAUCACCAUCUUCUAUAACCAAAAUAUGCUCUAUUAGAGCAUCUCUAACCCAUAGCUAUUUCCACUUCUAUAAUAGCAUUUAGAGGUGAAAUUGCUCCAACCCACCUCUAUUUCUUCUUCUAUAAUAGAAAUUUCUAUUUUUUUCCUUUAUUUAUAGAGGAAGAAAUAGCAUUCCUUUAUUUUUUACUCUACAUUUAUAGAUUACUAUUUUAUAGGAAUACAUUGAAGCAUAUCCCAUCUCUAUUAUAGAGUUCCUCUAUUUUAGAGGUGAAAAUAACAAAAAAUACAUUGGAGAUGGUCUUAGCCUCUCUACGAGAUCAACUUGAAAAAUGCCUAAGGGAAAUUUUUCAUAAGUUCCCGUUUAACUGUUUAAGACAUAUCAAAGUAAUGGUUUUGACAACAACUUAAACUUGUGAUUAUCUUUGAAACUAUCAGUUUAAAUAACACUUAUUUGGAUCAUUUGGUUACUAGAUAAUCUAUCACUGUUGGAUUUACUGAAACUUCCACGUGAAUUGACUUUGUUCUUUCAAAAGUUACCAUGCACAUUAAAAUUCAAAAGCUUAGGUUAAGUAUUUCUUUUUUGUCACGAAGCUUAGGUUAAGUCAAAGUUCAAUGAUUUGACACUUAUAAAAAUGAGGUUAAUAAUCUCCAUCCGUGAUUCCGGUUCUUUUGAACUACCUCCUCCUCCUAAAUAAUUAUUACACCAUAUAAAUAAAAUAAUUCAGUGGACUUUUCUUCAACGAAUAGUAAUUAGUAAGAAAAUAAAAUAAAUAACCGACUUUUCCUUGAAUGAGAGAACCAUAAUCUCUCGGUUAGAAGAUAAAUCUGAGAAUGUAUGCAUAUUACUUGAUUUUUAUUUUAUUGUGUAAUCUAGCGAAGAGAAAUUUCUCCCCGGAUAAUAAGAAAAUCGCAUAAAUAUUUAACAGUAUAUGGUUGUAUGGUGGGAGGCAAACCUUAGAUGUAUAGAAAGACUUUUCAUCAACCUUCUAAAAAUCUAUUUCUGUCUUCUCAGUAUCCAACAAACAAUGUAUGGUCGAAAUAACGUUUCCAUACAAGUAGACAAUCAUGAAUAGAACCCUUGUGAGAAGAAUCCGGUUUCGAAUUUCCAUUAUAAUUUAGAAGUUGCAUGUAUUUAAAUUAAAAUAUAUCACUAAAAUCAUAGUUUAUUAAAAAUCAAAUUACUUGAUGUCUUGAUGAGGUUCAAUAAAAAUCAAAUUACUUUUCAUCUAAUUUUUAAUAUGACAAUUACAGCCACAGCGAUCUUACGUACAUUCUGCAAUAAUUCCAACUAGAUAAGCUCUUCAGGAUCCGACCGGACUAACUCUACUUCACCCGAUCGGCCUUAUAAUCCUCUUGUCCGUUAGUAUUUUAAUAAGCCACUUAACCUUUUAUGUAGCAUGUAAUUAAAAACACUAAUUGAGUAUUAAUCAAGCAAUUGAUGACUAAUCGCUUCUUCCCCUAUAAAUAGAUCCGAUCCUUCCACUACUUCUUCAGUCUGACUUUCCCUCUCUCCAACAAAAACAACAAACGCAGCCGUUUCAUAGCAGAAAGAUGUUUUCUUCUUCUCCAACUUCUUUCGCUCAUACACUCCUCUCUUCUCCGCCUCUCUCCCCCGUAUCUCCGCCAUCUCGCACAACUAAGAUCUCGCCUCUUCUCGCCUCCGCCUCGUGCUCCUACACCUGCGCGGAGGACUCUCCCAGACUGCAUCAGCUACAGCGGCGUUUGACGACGGCCACCGCUUCGCUCUACGAGAUUCUUGAGGUUCCUCACGGCGCGAGCCCCCAGGACAUUAAAUCGGCUUACCGGAGACUGGCCAGGAUCUGCCAUCCCGACGUGGCGGGACUUGAUCGGACGAGCUCUUCUUCUUCGGGGGAUGAGUUCAUGAAGAUCCACGCGGCGUACUGUACGCUUUCUGAUCCUGAGAAACGCUCUCUUUACGAUCGGAGGAUGCUUCGGAGGAGCCGUCCUUUGACCGUCAGUACCUCCGGGAUGGGAAGUUACGUUGGUCGGAACUGGGAAACUGAUCAGUGCUGGUAGCGAGUUGACUCGGUGACCGUGCUAUAAACAGGCAGCGAUAAUUAUGGGCUUAACGUCGUAAUUAAUACUAUUAGUAAAUAGCUGACACGGACGUGGAUUAUUGUGCUAUAACGUUGGUUCCGUGUUACGUAGGAUCUCCGUGUUUUUUACCUUGUGAAUGAUCCUAUAUUGUCAAUGAAAAAUAUAUACUCAGUCUAAUUUCGCUCUUAUGAUUGAUUAUCUAUAAAUUAAUUUAGAAUAUGUUUGUUUAAGAACUUAUAAUACACCCAUUUCCAUGCAAAUUCAAAGUAAUCAAGAAACAAAUCUUAUAUGAAUUAUGCCCACGUUAAGAUUAAGGUUUUGUUUGUAUGACUGACGUUAUCAUUUUCUUAUAAUAUACCAAUAAUCAAGAAACAAAUUAUAUAAUAUGAUUUGCUUAUAAUAUACCGAUGUCGGUUUGUAACAAUACAUUUCGAGUCCAAUUUGAUGGAAUGCAUCCAAUUUAACAAAAAAAAAAGAAAUAGAAUGCAUCCAUAAGUUAUUUUAUCAUCUGGCCCACAAAAUGACUGGUAUAUAUUAUACAACACGUUAACAUGGCCAAUGAAAGAAGAUUUCUUCAAUGUGAACCAAACAUAGCCAUCAUUUUUAGAGUUAUUUCAAGCGCUAGUUGACAGAUUCAGAGUUAGUAAAUGUGGAGGCCAACCUGAUUAUAGCAAUACAUCCCGUCCCGAGUCCUCUUUUUAUCGAUCAUUCUAAUAUUAUAGCAAUACAUUACGAUCAGUGGCGGAGGUAGAAUUGUGUUUCACUAGGGUCAAUAUUCAUAUAAUCAAAUGACCAAACAUAAAAUUUUAUUGAACAGGUUCAAAGAGAAUGUGUAGACUUAGAUCAUGAUUCAUGAGGGUCAAUUUUACUUACAUAAUACUAAAUUGUCUAUCAAAUGCAAAUCGUAUAAGCAUAAAAGUAAAAUUUGUCAAAAAUCACACGGGUCAAUUGAUCCUCCUCGUAACAAGGUGGCUCCGCCACUACGAUUGUGUACCUAUUCAGCUGGGUGGUCACAGAAACAAAAAAAAUCUGAUAUCAAAAAUUGUAGCACCGCCUUGUUUGGUGCGAUUCUCAUUCUACUUAUAUGCUCAAAUUGUUAAGCUAUUGUUACAACUCAUGAGUAUACAUAUGUAUAUGAUAUGUCCACACAAUCUUUCUUUUAUUUAUAUCGUUUGACAUUUGGGAUAUAAACCCAUUCAACUCAUGCAUGUUACAUGAAGAAAAAUAGGAUUGAAUGUUAGACAUGGUGAGAUGGAACUUGGAAGCAUUAUUGGGACAAAAGCAUGAAUAAUUUUAUUGAGUUGAAUAUUAUAUGCAUGACUUUUGUUGAUAAAUGAUUAUAAUAAUAACUCGCACGUCAUCUUUAGGUUUAUUGGGGCCUAGAGGCGACAAAAGUAUACCCCGCUAGAUUGCGGAAACAAGAAAAGUAACUCAUGUAAUCAUGUAAUACUAUUUUCAAUGGUUUACAUUAUUUUUUAUUUUAAAAAAUAAUAAAUUUAUAAUAGAAUUGAGUAUACUCUAAUAAUAUUCUAUUUAAAGCGAAAAAUAGAAUUAUGAACAAAAAAAUAAACAAUUUACUUUAAAUAUAAAGUAAAUUCAUUUUUAUUAUAUUAUAGAAUAAAAAGUAAAGUACAAUUAGAAUAUGUUUAUUCUAAACUUUAUUUUAAAGUGGAAAAUAAAAUAGAGUUGAAAAUGCUCUAAAUUGUUAGAGCAACUCCGACAAUAAAAAUUCUAGAGAAUUUCUUUAAAAAACAUAUUAAUAUUAUAAUAAAUUAUAAUAAAAUAACUAAAAGUUAAUUUUAAAACAAUAAUUUAACUAAUCUAUUGUUUACAGAUGUGAUAUCAAAUUUUAAUGGAGUUCUAAAAAGUUUAAACAUUAAAACUCUUUUCUACUCUCUCUCUUUUCUUUUUCUUAAAUACUCACUUUAGAAUUUUUUUGAGAUUCCUUGUUGGAGGUUCUCUUGGAUCUUCUUCUGCCAUAAACUAUUGCCGUAUUUCAUCUUAUUUGCUGGGACUAAAUCCUAAUAUAAAUAUUGCGUACUGUAAUCUAGAAGCUAAAGGAAAUCACGUGAAAGUUAAGUUCAAGUAGUACUGUGCUGAACAUUUUUAAAACAUGAUUAACAAGAGUUCUUAAGAGUGAGGUUCCUAACGGGAUUUAAGAACCCGUUCUUAAUUUUAAUAAAGAAAAAUAUAAUCAGUUCUUAAAUAAGUAUUUAAGAAUUGGUUCUUAACAUUUUAUUUGUUAAAAUUAAAAACCGAUUCUUAAAUUACGCUAAUAACUUCAUCUCUAAGAACUUCCAUUAAUUAUGAUCAUAGCUGUUUUUAUCUUUUUUUUUAUGCAUAUAUAUUUUGGACGUUUAGGCUGAGAGACAUGCUCAAUUUUUUGAUCUAUAGAUUGAUUAGAUUCAUUGUAACUUUUUUUUUUCAUUGUAACUGUUGCCCAAAAAAAUAUUCAUUGUAACCAGAUGUAUUCGUUUUGGAGAGAGAAAAAGUUGUAUGUUAUAAAACUAAUCUAUUCACUUAUUUAUUACGAAUGAACAAACGAACGAGGAAGCACCCGCGGAGAACACUCUUAGUUCUUGUAUAAAAGUAAUUUUAACGUGUUUUGUAAUAUCUUUAAUGCUACUUUAAUUAGUAGGAAUAGUACUUACAAUCUUUCUUGAUUAUAACUAAAAGCCUAUAACUAUAGAGUACAUUUAAGAAGAGAAAACAUUUAUUUAAUCAAAUCAUAAACGUAGUCUUUUUUAGAAUCUCAAUAUAUAAAUAUGAAACAUGGCGCAGAAAUAAAUAAGGUUGGUUUUAACUUUUAACAUUCGAUGUCACCACACACUUGUAGAAAACCCAACUAGCCUUACCCAAAAGAAUGCAAUGUCUCUUGGGCCCAAUAUAAUUUAUCCAGUCACAUCUUCUUCUUCUUUUUAUUUUUAACACAUUCAGUCACAGCUUAACAAUAUAAAAUUCAUAAACAUUUCAUUGUUCAAAACUCUCCUAAGCUGUUUUUUUGUCAUCUGAUGGAUUAAUAUCAAACUCUCCCUAAGCUGUUAAAUAGCUAUUUUCUCAACUUUUUAUUAUUUUGAAAUUAAAAAUUGUAAUCAUUUAAAUUUUGUAUUAUUAAAAUACAACAUUGUAUACAAACUAGAAUUGCACAAAUCAUUAUUCCAUAACUUAAAUAGAGUUGUUUUGAUUGAUUGUCUCUUUGUUUUAGCAUGCCUAUUUCUCCUUAGAAUAUGUUGUUUUAAAUUACACAAUCGGAUAUGAUGUCAGUCAAACAAAAGUAUAACAAAUGUACAUGUACAUAGAAUAUAGUUUCUUAGACAGUAUAGUACUGAACGAGUUUAAGGAAUGAUCCCAUUCUGAUAUGUUGAUAUUGUUACCUGUUAUACACCACCACCAGCCAUUUAGAGAAUGUCUUUGUCAUUUUUUAGAAUUUUUAUUUAUUUAAUCUAGUUUACAGUUUCAAUCAUAAUUAGCAAAAUUAAUAAACACUGAUGACGAAUCUUCCUAACGGAAGUAUCUGGAAGCCCAAGUUUGGUUGUUCACCUUUUCCUGUCCAUAUAAAGCCACACAAUCAACUAUUAUCAUUGCUUAAAAAGAGUUAUCAUUGGUUAGACUAUAGUAAGACACAUGUAUAAAACUUGAUUAGGUUAAACAUCAGUGUUCAUAUCUUUGGAUGAUUGGAUCCUAUAUACCAAAAGCAUCCUAAUGCUCUCACUUCGCAUUUAUCAAUUAUUUAUUUAAGGUUCCAUUGCCAUUUUAGAUGUCUCUUGGAAUAAUUGUUGGUUUAUAAGAGAACUUUGGGGUUCGGGAUCAAAUGUUGAUGACAUUUGAAUAGUUUUCACAAAACGAGAACAUGUUAAAGAUGGUUAAGUUCGGCUAAGUAAAGGUUAUAAUAAAUGGUUAGUCAAAUGAGAUUAAAAACAAAUACAAAAAUUGAAAAAAAAAACAUUUGGCGGAUUAUGAAUGAAAAGUUGAAGAAUUUUUGGUCUGAUACCAUUUCAGAUUCUUGGGUUGCAAAAGAGUGAGCAGUUGUUUUGAACACAAAGAAUCUAAACAUAAACCAUAGAAACGAAACCUAUUUAAACCGAAACUUAUAACCAAUAUAACAUAACCGGAAUAUGUUACUGAUAACAUGAAAACCGGUUUCAUAACCUCUAAAAUGGUAAAUGUUGUAGACUUGUAGUUUUAGGUACAGCUGAAGCAAAUAUCACACCAACGAAAAGUAAGUGCAAAUGCAAACAACGAUUAAGGCCAUAAUCGACAUAUAAAUGUUAUAGGAAUUGAGUAAGUUUCUAUUGAAAGAAACAUACAUAGCACCUAAUCCAAGUUGUACAUAAACAUAAAUAACUUGUAACAAUGAAAGAAGCAUGAACCAACCAUGUUGAUAUAUCUCCACAUCGCACACAGGUAAAGCGUCGAAUGUCGUUGACCCAACACCUUGUCGUUUAUUCAUAUAACAAUCUUACUAAAUCCAUAUCCAACGUUAGCCACUAUGUCUCUUUCCCAUAAUAACUCAAUAAAUAAAAUAAAUUUUGUAUUCCUCUCCUGAACCUUUUAUUCUACAUUCCAAUUUGAAUACUAAAACUACUCAAGAAAAAUCAAAAUCAUUAUACAUGUUUCAUUUUGUCAUCUUUUCAUAAUAUAAUAAUUAACAGUGACACGACACGACACAACACAACACAACUUGGGUGGAUAGUAGAUACUCUUAAGACCCCGUCCUUUGGAAGAGAGAAGAGGGCAGAAGAAUCUAAGGAUGCAUCAUACACUACGACUUCUCUUUCAGCAUUUUUCUGCUCACCGCCUCUUUCAUCCAACACAUUUAUGUUUAAUAUUAUUCAAUUCUUUUGUGAAAAUAGCUACUUCAUUGAAAUUUUCCUUACCGGAAAAUUCCUCUCCCGGCUACAUACAAACUAUGAUACUCAUCAUGAACAUACAAACUAUGUACUCAUCAUGAACAUACAUUAGUCUACGUUAGUGGUGAACAAAAAAAUUUGUCUACGUUAGUGAUGGGUCAAACCUACCAAACCAACAAGUUAUGGCCAUGGGGUAUUGUGACUAUUCGAAAGAUGCAAUGGAUCGUUUGAAUACAAUUACGUAUAUAUAAAUAAUCAAAAGGGACAAGCUCUAUGUAGAUCACCGACAUCAAGACUGAUCAUAAUUCAUAUCCAUAUGCAACCCAUAUUGGCAUACUGCACGAAUCAUACGUAUAAACAAUUACAAGCAUUAUAAUAAUAUUAUUUCCUAUGAUCCAAACAAAAAAUUCUUACAUAUUUUAUGAACAAAAAGAAUAAUAACGUGACCUUGUACGGCACAAUGGCCGACUAACAUAGACAAAGGCGGCAUGGGCUCACGUGAAAACCGACCUUUCUAAAAAAAAAUCUUAAGCCCUUUAAAAAGAUUCAAUCCCCAAAACCAAUCUCUCUCCAUUUUCUUUUUCACUCUAGUUUCUAUAUUCUUUUUCUUUCCAUAUAUAUAUUCACACUCUUCAAACAUCUCUCACCAGAGCAUAAACAGAGUCACCGGAAGUCUCUAUCUCCGGCGACACACAAAAACAAAAAAAAGUUCAUAUAUUUAGAUUCUUGUGACUAUCUGCUCUAAUGGGUCAAUCUCAAAACUCUCUCUUUCUUUUUCUACUUCUUGUUUUCAUCUAUGGCGUUUCCUCCACCACUUUCACCGUCGUUAACCAGUGCAGCUACACCGUCUGGCCUGGCCUUCUCUCCGGCGCCGGAACCGCUCCUCUACCCACCACCGGGUUCUCUUUAAACCCGACUGAAACACGCGUCAUACCAAUCCCCGCCGCUUGGUCCGGCCGUAUUUGGGGCCGUACUCUCUGCACACAAGACCCAACCACCGGAAAGUUUACUUGUGUCACCGGAGACUGCGGUUCAUCCGCCGUCGAAUGCUCAGGUUCCGGCGCCGCACCUCCGGCGACGCUAGCUGAAUUCACCUUAAACGGAGCCGGCGGUCUCGAUUUCUACGACGUCAGUCUCGUCGACGGAUACAACAUCCCUAUGACGAUCGUCCCACAAGGCGGCGUCUCCGGGAACUGCACCACCACUGGCUGCGUUGCGGAGCUCAACGGCCCGUGUCCUGCUCAGCUGAAAGUGGCGACGACGGGGACUGAAGGAGUGGCUUGCAAAAGCGCUUGUGAGGCGUUUGGGACGCCGGAGUAUUGCUGUAGCGGCGCGUUUGGAACGCCGGACACGUGUAAGCCAAGCGAGUACUCGCUGUUCUUCAAAAACGCGUGUCCGAGAGCUUAUAGUUACGCUUACGACGAUGGAACUAGCACUUUCACUUGCGGCGGAGCUGAUUACGUCAUCACUUUCUGUCCUUCUCCUAACCCAAGGUAAUAAUAUUUAUUUUCAUUAUUCAUUACAAGAAGUUAUGAUUGUCUUCAAUCAUCAAGUGGAACACAUGAAUUAGAAUAUUUGAGUACAAAUUGAUUAUGUUUGAGAUGAAUAAUUUCACUUUUUUGUUAACGUUUUGAAAAAUUGAAGAGGUCAAAUCACCGUAUAAAAAUGAUGACAUAUGCUUUUUAAUGUUUUCAUAAUGGACCGUAUUUUUCUGUCGAUUUGUGAAAUCAUAAGAAAAACGACAUUUUCAUUUUCACCAGUUGGAAUAUAAUGAUAUCAACAUUAGUAAAUCAAAUUAAAUUAAAAUAGAAAAUAUAUGAUCUUUUCGAUUUCUGGCAUAAUAGUUUUUUACUUACAAACGUCGGUGAACUAUGCCCAUGUGUGGUUCGACACGGCUCUUUUAAUUUGUUUACUAGAUUUUGACCCGCCCUUUCAAGAGCGGGUAUAUUUUUGGAGCGGGUAUAGGAGCGGGUAUAUUUUUGUUUUAAACUUUUUUUGAAUGAUUUAAUUUUAUAUUUAUGUUUAUUAAUCAUAUUUAUGUCUAAUGUUAAUUUACUUUAGUAUAAUUUUUAGUAAUUAUAUUAAAUAUGUCAAGUUGCAUAAAUAUACAUAUCAUAUGUAUUUCAGAAAUUAUUUUUAAACUUUAUUCAUAAAAAUUACAACAUAUUAUAUUUUUUUAAUAGUUAUCUAACAUAGUUAGUCAAGAAUAUAUGUAUUAAAAAAAUCCGAUUCGUAAUCGACCCAAAAAUCAAACUCUAAUACUCUAUUAGACAUGACUUAUAUAUUUGAAUGGUUCUUAAAAUGUUAUAUCCAAAAACCAAUAUCAAACCCAACCCGCACCGAAAACCGAACAAUGUUUUUUGAAAAAUGUUUGAAAAAUUAUAUUUUUAAUAUAUUCUGUUAAAUAUAUAUAUGUAAACGGGUUAAUAUGGUCUUCAAUAACUUUAAGUAAAAUCACAUUUAAUAAAUAUUUUUAAUCGAAUAACCUAUUUAAAACCCGUUAAACUAAUUGAGUUUAUAUGAAUAUUUAUUUGUAUUAAAAUUCCACUUAAAUCCUGUUAAACCCUAUUUUUAACUUCACAUGCUUUGCUAAUUGAUAAAUUUAAUGUAUGUGUAAAAUAUUUAAAAUUUGAAAAAAUUAAUGUCUAGUUGAAUAAAUCAUAAUUUCUUGGGCUAAGAUGUAAGUUAUGUUUUUGUAGUGUGAUAAUAAUUUCUGAAAAAAAUAUAUCAAAGUUUAUUAUAAUUAUGAGGAAUAAUUAUCAUAUCAUUAUAGAAAGAGAUGUCAAUAAUGUAACUGUAUACAUAAUUAUAUAAAAUAACGUGUUAUAUUAAUCAAAUAAAAGGUUAAAAUUCUAAAAAUAAUUUUUAUUUGAACACCCAAUAACAAAAAACAUAACAAAAAUAUAUGGCUACAAAAUUGUAUUUUUAAUGUCGAGCAUUAAUUUUAACCUUUAUAAACGUUUAUAUUUUUAUAGUACAUGACCAAUUGUCUAAGGGGUUUUUUUUGGUAUUACACAUGUAUUGCUAUAUAUAAGGGUUUAUUUUCUUUAAAACACCAAAUAAUGAAAAAAAUACAAAAAUAUAGUUUUAAAUUUUUUUGUUGCCAUAUACAUUGUCAUUUAAAAUAUGAAAUAUGACUUAAAGUGGUUAUCCCUUUAAAAUAGGACUUAAAGUGGUUAUCCCUUUAAAAUAGGACAUUAAAACAUAUUGAUUUACAUGCAGUUAUAUAACAUUAUGCAGUUAAGUUUUAGAUACAGUUAUAUUUUAAGUUGGACUCAACUAUUAUCAACUGGGCAUGUUCCUAAUUUAAUAGUAUUGAUUUAUAAACGUUUAUAUUUUUAUAGUACAUGACCAAUUGUCUAAGGGGUUUUUUUUGGUAUUACACAUGUAUUGCUAUAUAUAAGGGUUUAUUUUCUUUAAAACACCAAAUAAUGAAAAAAAUACAAAAAUAUAGUUUUAAAUUUUUUUGUUGCCAUAUACAUUGUCAUUUAAAAUAUGAAAUAUGACUUAAAGUGGUUAUCCCUUUAAAAUAGGACUUAAAGUGGUUAUCCCUUUAAAAUAGGACAUUAAAACAUAUUGAUUUACAUGCAGUUAUAUAACAUUAUGCAGUUAAGUUUUAGAUACAGUUAUAUUUUAAGUUGGACUCAACUAUUAUCAACUGGGCAUGUUCCUAAUUUAAUAGUAUUGAUAUCGCAAGUAAUUAUAUAAGAUAUAAAGGUUAUUUUUUGCACCAACAAAAAAUAAAAGGUUAUUUUCUUUGAACAUUAUAUAAACGUUAUUUUAAAUAGAUGCAUUGUCUUGUGUAAAUUUGUAGUGUCAAGAGUGCAACGAAGGGAGGAGGACUUGAGACCGAAGCCGUAAGCUACUCUGCUGCAUCUCCAAACGCGUCCCCAACUCUCUCUACUACGGUGUUUUCGAUUGGUGUUUUGGUUGUCGCGUUUAGGGCGGUUCAACGCCUUUGGUGAAAGCCGUGCGGUCUGAUUUUAAUAACAGCAUCAUUCGAUUCAUCUAAGAGAAAUUAAGAACAGAUCAUCAACCAAAGAUGAUCAGAGGAAAGAGUUAAUUAGUCCGAGAUGAUUAUUUUUAGAACGGUUAAGCUUGUGUGCGGUCCUAAAGCGCUAAGGAUCAAUUUGUUUUAGAUUGAUUAGUUUUAUAGUAUAGUUAUGACUUAUUAGUUGCUUCGUAAUUUGUUUAGACAUGUUGGUGGGCUUUACGGUGUUAUGUAGGAGACUUAUAUAUAAUAGUUUUGAUUGCAGAAUUAGUUGAUUGGUAAUUCGCUUAAUUCCUUUCUAUUUGACUUUUACGUUUUCUAGAUACUGUAUAUGUUUGAAAGUUAGAUUCGUUCAUAUAAUCUAUCUUGUAUUUGUUGGAUUAAGAGAGAAAUUAUGAGAAAUUGUGAGAAAACCCUUUAUCAAACAAAAAAGGAGAGAAAUUGUGUGCUGGAAUCUCUGUAUUGGACAAAUAAAGAGUGACGUUAAUUUUUGGAUUUUCAGUUUAACGAAUUAUUAUUUUUGAACAUAGAAACGUUAUAUUUAAAAAAAAAAAACAGAACAGAAGAAUGUAAAAAGAGGUGUUACAGAAAAUAAAAAAGAAUGUAAAAAGAGAAAUGAAGUAAAAACAAUCGGGGAGGUUGAUGGUAGAGAUGAUUCUAUUAAGUGUUUCUCUCGAUCCAGUUCAUCGUCCUCACGUGCGUUAACUACAACAUUCAUCUUCUUUCUUCAUGGUCACGUCUGAUUUCCUUAUAGGGUUUCCACAUUUUUUCAUUUCUAAGGUUUUGGUUGUGGCGGAGAUGGUCAACUGAAUCAAUGUAAUGGUGGAUGAUUCUAAGUCAUAUUGUGGGGGGCGUAGAUGUGAGGUUGUUGGUAUUGGUGGAGAAGAGUAGAGAAAGUUUGUGGAGGCAAUGAGCGCUUAAAGGUUCAUAAAGUGUGUUACCGUUGGUGAUGGAGCUGUCGGUAAAACGUGCUUGCUCAUUUCUUACACCAGCAACACCUUUCCCACGGUAAGAUACUCUGUCUGACUAUUAUCUUGUCUGAGUUGUGAUGUGGCUGAUUAAAAGAAAUCUUGGAUCUGCAAUAGCUUUCGUGGAAGCCAAGAAACUUAUUACUUGCUUGGUCUCAUAUCCUUUCAAAUGUAUUGGAUCCCUAUUUGAGUCUAGGAUUCUAAUUGACUGGAAUGAAACUAAAAACCAUGAUUUAAAAGUAUUGGAUGCCUAUUCGAGAGUCUCUAAGUAUACUGUGAGGGAUAGAUUCUAGUCACAGUCCUAGUUUUGAUAAUGUUUAUUCUCUAUCUUAAUGCCACACUAUAUUAUCUCUUUAUGUCCACCUUUGGUUGCUUGAAAGAACACACAGCAAAACAUCAACAACCAAAAGUGGAUCAAGAAUAAUCUUAUUGGACAAACACAAUGUUUUGAUGAUGACUAGUGUAGCAAAAGAGGGAUAAAACUAAUCUCUUGAUAAGCCAAAUCCAUACGAACACACCUAGUGUUUGAUGAUGACUAGUAUAGAAAAAAGAAUAAGUAACACGUGGGGGUGAGCAGAACAUAACUAACCCUAUCAUGUUCUCUCUUGACCAACCAAAAAUUGGGCUGACUUUAAUUCCCAUUGGCUUGGAGGUUCCAAUUUCAUAAUGCAAGUUGUUGGCUUAUAUGGUAGCCAGCCAAAGGAAUGGACCUUUCUGUGAUAAUGGGGGCAGGGAGAAACAUAAAUGUUCAGUGGUAGGUCGGUCCCCUUCUCACUUUUCUUUGGAAUAGUCAUCAUCUAAGUGGAACACUGUUUUGUCUAUUGGUCACUUGAACCUUUUGCUUCUUUUGAGAACCAAAUUGGUUAAACAGUAAAACAUAAUAUGUAAAAAAUUCAAACUAACAUUAGAAGAGGAAGUAGCAUUACUACAAAAAUACAAGUUAGUGCAUAAGAAAAUGACAGAACAAGAGGAAAGAGGCCCAAGACAGGUGUUCCUGUGCCUUAGGAAAUAGAAAGACAAAGAUCCUUUCCUCUUUCUGUUUUUUUUUACCAAGUUCUUUCCCCUGCAAUAUCUUAGGUUUACAAAAAUACCUUAGUUACUUAUAGCUAAUAAACUUUUUCCAUUUUUUCACUUCUUCAUGAAAGACUCUCAAAUCCCCAAAAGAGAAAUAAAGGACAUGUAGAUUUCUCAAAAUGGAGCUGUGGACGACCUUUGAAGUGCGUUCUUUUUGGGUUGCUGAUUUGCUGCCACCAUUUUUAACUACACACACACACACACAAAGAACUUAAGUAUCAGAAUAUUACCAGUCGAAAUGUUAUUGUACCAAAACGAGUGUAAGACAAAAGUACUUCAAGUAAUGCAGAGGAUGUCUAUUUACUUUUAACUAUAAGGAAUUGAACUAUUAUUAUGAGUGCUUCAUACAGGAAAAUUCUCUCUGCUUGUUUACCUGAUCUUGUUGUCUCUUGAGUCUUGCAUUUUCUGCUUUCAGGUGAGCAAGUUUAAGCUCUAACUCGUUUGUAUAAGCCUGCAAAUGAGAAUCAAAACCCAAAAAAAAACUUUUUUAGAUCAUUUCAUUGUGAGGACAAAGUCAUAUCUCUUUUUCAAGUAGAAGGUUAGCUGAGGAGGAGAGGAGAGGCACAUUCCUGUUUCCUAGCUCUGGAACGAGCCGCAGAUUCUCUGUUCUUGAUCAUACGCUUAUGUCUUCUAUUCCCUGAACCUUCAUUAGACUCUUGGCCUCUUUUCUUACCAAAAGAAGUGGAUGUAACCAGAGCCUCAAAAGGGGUGUCCAAUGAACAAACGUUUGUGAGGUGAUUGUGGCUAUGCAGAUUGGAGUUAGGGGUAACAAGAGGAUCUUCGUUAUCAAGAAACUCGAAGCAGGCACUGGAAUUCAAGCUCAGAACAGUUGCAGGAGGUGCCAAAGGAGAGCUGCUGAAGAGAGCAGUGACGGUGGUGGUAUCGCCACUGAGGCUUGUGGGUAUGGUUGGUUCCUGGUUUAAAGGUCUGUUGAGAAAAUCUUGGAAGAUGGAGUUAGGGUUUUGGUUAUGGCUCCUGAACCUUGGCUCAUGGUUGUGUUGUGGAUGUUGGCUGUGGUGGUUAAGGUGGUGAAUGGAAGCAAGGUUGAUGUCUUUCCAAACUUCUUCCAUGGUGAUUAGAGAUCUCUUCUGGACUUGAGAGUGUGAAGGAGAUGAUGAGGAUGAAAUGGAAGGAACUUUGUUGAGAAUCUUGUUCUUGUUUGGAGCAGAGACUCUAUGGUUUCUUUGAUGCUUUGCUGAUGAAAACAUAGGAAAAGAGAACUAAUAAACACAACUUUAGGCUUUGGUGUUAAUUGUCUUGGAGAGAGAGAAAUAGACUAGAGAGCUUCUUGACUUUCACCAGUCAUUUCUGGAAUGAUGGUUGGGGUCUAGAAGAAGAGACAGCGAGAUGGGAACUAUUCAAACAAAAAAAAAUGUUAAACGAGGAAGAAAAAUUACAUAACCAUAUAACUAAAGUUUUGAUGUAAUUUUGAAGAUUUUUUAUAAAGAUAAAAAUGUUGAUAAUUUCAUAGUGAAGUUAGUAAACUAUUGUCAUGAUCCUUAAUGUAAAGAGUGGGUGGGGAAGAGAUGCUUGAAAAAAACAGGCAAAUAAUUAAAACUUUUGUUUAAUCUCACUUUUUUAAAGAUCACGUCCUUUUGAAUCACGUUCAACUUUCAAGUGUUUACUUAUUUCUUUCUUGCUUUAUUCUUCUUCUUCUAAUCACAAUUGCAUAUUAUAAAAACUUACAUAUUUUAAAAGUUAAAACCAUGAGAACAUUGGCUUUCUAUUAUGCUAUAUCUAGGUAUUCGAAAUUAUGUGUCCGCUUGUAUCUAUGUUUAGUCUCCAAGUGCAUAUCUAGCAAAAAAAUUCUUUCUUUCUUUACUGCAAGUUGAUAGUAAUACAAUUAUAUAUAUUUUUCCUCUUGAGAUUCUAUUUAACAAGAUAAACUAAUUCAUUUCCAUACAAUUGCGAUUUUAAUUACUGUUUUGUGGCCGAAAACUGAGAAACCCGGCGAUCUUUUGUAUUGUUCUGAACUUUUUUCUUACUCGAGAACAUUUCAUAAUCUAAUUUGGGCAUAGCACACAAAGGAUGAAUAAGCUUGUCCAUAGAGAUAUUAGGCCAAAACAAAGGUUCAGACAACUGUUGAAAUCGAUAAUAAUUAAACUUAUUUAAAUACGUUUGGUUUGUAUAUGGUACAGACUUUUAAUUAAAAUUUCAAUAUUUGAUGAUACUUUUUGGUUUGUAUGCACUGACCGUGGUUGUUCUUUUAGUUUACCAACACUUGCUUUGACCGUUUAUAAAAAAAGAAAAAUUGUUGCACACAUUUGAAAUCUAUGUCAAUCGGGAAAUGUAUUUUUUGAACAAACGGAAUUAUAUAUUAGAGCCAACAGAUUAUAAAACAUUUUAAUAAAAUGGAAGCUCCAAGUUGGGUAUAUAUAUCGGACCCAUCACCCAUAUAUAUCUGAGCUAUGCAGAGCUUGUGAGUUGUAUGAGAGGGAGAAAGCGUGACAAGUCAUGUCUCAUGGGAUUGGACAGGUGUCAGCAUUAUAUUGCUCAGUCACAAACUCUAUCAGAUUUCUUUCUCUGUCUUAAAAUAUCGUUUUUUUGGGUCAAAGUCUUAAAAUAUCGUUUAAAACGAUGAAUAUAAACGGAUAACAUGCUUGCCAGUUGCUCAAAAAAGGAAGUGCAACUAAUGUAAGCCGAAAAAAGAUUUUUAAAAAACUAAUAUAAAAACGAUAGAUUUCAUUUCACUAAUAAAAAUCAGUACUUUUAGUUCACGAAUGAAAUAUUGAUUACAAUAUAUGUUUUUUUUUUUUUUGGUAAAAUGUUAAAUUUAUACCAUUUUCGAGAUUUUAAACUGUUGCGGACAACUUAUUGUGCGGAAAGAAAAGAAACAAAACAACCUAACUCAAGAACAGAACAACCUCAAGGAGGCCUAGGGCCAGAAAAAUAGAACUGCAGCAGCGACGGAGUGGGGUUCGGGGAUGGAAAGGAGAGCAAGCGAUCUCGUAUCAGGCGGUCUAAGGCGGAACGAAGAGCAGCAGCAGAAGUGGAGGCAGAGGUAAAGACCCGGGCGUUGCGUUCCUUCCAGAUGAGGUAGAUGGCGGACUGAAAGAUAAGCUUGAUGACAGGUGGAGCCUGGGAAGGGUGGCGGAGGUGAGAGAUCAUGGCAGCUGCUGAAUGCACAUCAAGGGGUGUAGCAGGUAGGAUAGCCUGCGCAAAAUGCUUCCAGAUGCUGGAAGAGUACUCACAUUCAAAGAAGAGGUGGUGAUGAGUUUCAAUACCCGUGGAACAUAGAACACAUUCCUGAGGAACAUUCAUUCCCCAACGACGCAGCCGAUCACGGGUAGGAAGUCUCCUUAGAAGAGCCAACCAAGAUAUAAAAGCAUUGCGUGGAAUGUUCUCUUUAAACCACACAACCUUAGCCCAAUAUACUGUUGGAGAAGUCUGUCUUAUAUGCUCCCAAGUAGUCUUAGAAGAGAAGGUAGGACCAAAGCUUCCAUCAUGCUUCCGCCAAAGGUAUUGGUCGGCACCAUUGUUAGAAGUUGGAGGGGCCAUUGUCGUGAGAACAAUCUGAACCGUCUCUGCAUCAGGAGAUCUAGCUGGUGGUAGCAGCCAAGAGCCCUCUCGUGCAGCCUUAGAGACCGUUGCAUUCUUCCCAAUUCUCAUCAUACGAGGACCAUUAUCGCCAAGAACGGAGAUCAGAGGGCCUAGAAGAGUCCAAGUGUCAUACCAAAAGGAACAAGAAGCCCCAUCUCUAACCUGACAGCGCAAAAAAUCAUUCAGCAUGGGCUUGAGUUGUACCAUACUUCUAACAGUAGGAGAUAACCGGCUUGAAUCUUGCAUUAGCCAAAAUCCCUUCCUCCCAAAGACAUUCUUUUUUAACCAAGCCACCCAAAGAGACCCUGAGUUAGAGAAUAGGUUCCAGACUAGCUUGAGCCUGAAUACAAGCUGGAAAUCCUCCAAUAACCGAAUACCUACUCCACCUUCGGCCUUAGGCCGACAAACAUCUCUCCAUGCUACCCGAGAACCCGCAGCAGUAGUGGCCUUGUUUUUCCAUAGGAAUGCAGCGCAGAGAGAGUCAAUCUUGGCGUAGAAAGCUUUGGGGAGCACAAAUACUUGACUCCAAAAGUUGACCAUGCCGUAAAUCUCAGACGCCACCAGUCUAAUUUUACCUGCAAAGGAUAGAAACUUGACCGUCCAUGAGUGGAGUUUUCCAAUAAUCUUGUCAAUAAAGGGUUGCAAAGUGGCCAUCGUUAUCCUUGACGGGUUCAGAGGAAAGCCAAGGUAGCGAGUAGGAAAUGUGCCUAUCGAGAAACCGCUUAUAUCAGCAAUCACUUGAGCCGAGAUUCCAGCAUACCCUCCAAAGAAGAUGUGAGAUUUAUCCGGAUUAAUGCUGAGACCACUCAUCCUUUUAAAUUUAUCCAUAACUGAACAGAUCCCAUUAAUAGACCAACGAGAUCCAUUAGAGAAGAUCAGGAGAUCAUCUGCAAAUAGAAGAUGAGUGAUUUUAGGAUCUGAGCAUCUCGGGUGAAGUCUGAUGCGCCCUGCAUUAGCAGCUAUGACGAGAAGAUUAGAGAGCACUUCCAUCACAAAGAGGAAUAGGUAUGAAGAUAGAGGGUCACCCUGGCGCAGGCCUUUUUUACCCGGGAAAAACCCAGCAAGUUCACCAUUUAUAGCCACCGAAAAUCGAGGGGAAGAGAUACAUUCACUGACCCAACGCCUGAAGAUAGGAGGAAAAUUUUGUGCUUCAAGCAGCUUGAGAACGAAAUCCCAAGAGACAGUGUCAAAAGCUUUCUUGAUAUCCACUUUCAGCAUUGAGCUCUUUUCACAACUAGCCUUGCCAUAGUCUCUAAUCAGUUCAGAGGAAAGCAAAACAUUUUCACCUAGACUUCUACCUUUAAGGAAGGCAGAUUGGCUCGGGCUUAUGCUGUCUUGAAGCACCCCUUUUAGUCUGUUUGAGAUGAUCUUGGAUAUAAUCUUGUAGAUCAGAUUACAACAGCUUAUGGGCCGGAAAUCACCUAACUUGCAGGCCUGAGGGAGCUUAGGGAUGAGAGCAAUGGUCGUGUUGUUCAGGUCUUUUAAGAGCCUACCGUUUAGAAAGAACUCAUUCACAGCAGCAAUAACAUCAGGCCCCACAAUGCUCCAAGCCGAUCUGAAGAACUCAAUAGAAUACCCAUCAGGACCGGGACUUUUGCUUAGUGGCAUCGCAAAGACCGUUUUAGUGAUUUCCUCAGUAGUGACAUGACGACUGAGCACCUCACAUUGCGCAUCAGAACAUCGGAAGGACAGGAGCUCCUGAAGUUCUCUGAUGGUAGUAGGAGAUUCCGGCAUGUCCGUGUGGCCCAAAAUGUUCUCAAAGUAGGUAGCAGAAUGAGCCUUUAUCUGGUCUAUCGACCCAAUGUAACCAUCAUCAGCAUCACGAAGGAAGUGUAUGUGGUUACUGGCCGCCCUUUGGAUAACGGUUUUGUGAUAAAAAGCAGUGUCACGAUCACCCAAGUGGUUCCAUUUAACACGAGAUUUCUGUCUAUAAAAUUUCUCCUCCGCCUUGAGAAGCAUCUGCCACUUAGCUCUUUCAUCAUGCUCCGAUCUGGCAGUGAUAGGAUCAGGGUUGGUAAGCAGACGCCGUUGAAGAUCAGUGACAAUGACAGUCUGCUCUUUUACUCGCUGUGUGAUUCCACUGAAGUGAGACCUGUUUAGUCUACGAAGAACACCUUUCAGCAAUUUCAAGGAUCUCUGGAGCUUAAACUGGUAGGUUCCUCGGAUAGUGACACAGUUCCAAGCUUCCUUCACAGAAUCCAAGUAGUUGGGAUGAUCAACUAUAUGAUCAAAGAACUUGAAUGGUUUAACUAUCCGCCGUCUGAGAGAAGGCAUAGAGACCAAGCAUGGAGCAUGAUCCGAUUGCUCAGGUUCUAGGAACUCCCCAAAGGCAUUCGGGAAGGAUUGAGCCCAGUUCUGGUUCACAAAGAAGUGAUCAAUCCUUUUAGAGAUUGGGUUAUCAUCCUGAUUGUUCCACCAAGAGAAGGGGAGACCCUUAGUGUGAGAUUCAAAAAGCUCAGCUUCCUGCAUAGCGAGUGUGAAGUCAUCUAUGUCUGCUGCAUCAACAUCUAUAUCCGGGUGGUUUGAAUGCUGAUCCGAUCUGAGAAUUUGGUUAAAGUCUCCUAUGACAGCCCAGGGAAAGCGAGAGACUGGAGUAGAAGCAUUUAGGAGAGAUAAUUCCUCCCAUAGUGAACAUCGUUCCUCAGCCACAUUGUAUGCAUAGACAAAGGUGACUGUGAGGUUGAUGUCUUCCGCAAGUACAGAGAAACCACAAGUAACUGCCUGCGCUGAUGCUUGAUAAAGCGUCAUAAUCACCGAAGGAUGCCAGACAACAACAAUUCUAGCCGUACCAUGGUGAGCUGAGUUCUCAAAAAACUUCCAACCAACUGGAAGAGCAUUAGAUAUCCGUCUUGAGUUAUUAGGUUGUAUGUGUGUUUCUAAACACGCACCAAAAAGAGGCCCGUGGGUUGUAAUCCACUGUUUGACCGAGAUGUGGCGUUGGUUGCUAUUCAGCCCUCUUACAUUCCACGCAAAAACAUUAUAAAAUGUUGGAUUAGUUUGUUGUAGCCUUGCGGCUACACUUCCUGUUCAGUACCAGGGAGAAAGGAUUAUUGGAGGUGUCCUCAUCUGACUGAAUUUGAGCCGCAGAAGAACCCUUCUCAUCGUGGAACACAAUGACAGAGGCAUUAUAUCCCAUAGGCCUGUCGAGGCAGAAGACUGGGGAGGGAACAACGUCCUCUACUGCAGGAUCCGAGAUGAUCAAGGUUUCAGAUAAAAGAACAUCAUCUGGCGCACUCUGAUCAGCAGUUACAGGAUUGGUGAUUUCUUCGUGCGGUGGUUGCGAAGAAGACAGCACAUUAAGUUUACCAGUCUCAACAGCCCGGCUUGAAGCAGGAGCAUCCUCAUUGCUAGGACCACUAGAUUGCAAAGUAGUGUCAUUGCAUGGAGGAGGAGUUUUAUCACGAGUGAAGCGCCUCUUGGAUUUUGACUCUCUGCUUCUAGGGCGGGGAGUCGAGCGCUGUGAUGAGGAACCUUUCUUGCUGUCAGCAUUCCUCAAUAAGGCAACAGAGCGAGGGCAAUGAUCCACAUCAUGUCCAAACUUGUCACAUUGGGAGCAUUUGGUGGGAAGCCAGGGAUAGGAGAUAGCAAUCUCGAUUUCUUUCCCAUUGGAGAACCCUGUAACAAUCCUACUUGGAAGCUCACCAAGAAGAUUCACUUUGAUCCAGAUCUUAGCCACUUCAAAGUUUUCCUUCCUUUCCGUUUCCGGAGCUAAGGAAACGGGCUUGCCAAUGGCCGUUGAUAAGCGACUCAAGCUUUUCUGAUUGAAGAGGAGGUAUGGAACUCCACGCAUCUCCACUGGAACCACCGCUGUAGUCAACUGCGGUUCAUCAUGAGAGAAGUCAGAAGACCAAGGGGCUACGAACAUAGGACUCCCCGCUAUCAUCCAAGCAGGUCUGCUCAGCAGGAUCUCCCUUGUCCGUAAGUUUGUGACCCUGAGGAGGAAACAACCUUCACCGACCUUGUGAACGAUUAUCCUCGGUCCUGAGCGUGCCCAGAUUGCAUUCACCACUCCAAUAAUACGCCCUUUAGAAGGGAUAUCCCCCCGGAACCGAGCGAAGAUGAAUUCUUUAAACUCUUCUUUAGCCUCUUCAAUAUUGUCAUCCGGUAUGAGGACAAAAGGAGCCCCUGAAACAUGGGUAGUAGGAGUGCCAAGUUCCUCCAAUUGAGCAGAUUUCUGAAUGAUAUUAGAAAGCUUCUGAGAAGGGACCGGAGAGGGUUCCUGAGGAGUAGGGCCAACAGGAGGAGCGUCAGUUGCAAGAGACGAUUCCUCAGGAGAGACAGUGUCGGAGGAUGAACCUUCAACGACACAGAAAUCCUGAGCAGUAGCUAAGACCUUGGUUUUUGAAAAAUCAGGCUUAGAUGAAACCAAUUCCGAUUUCGAGGUCGGAGAUGGAGGAGUUACAGUCACCGGAGGAGUAGGGCCAACUGGAGGAGCGUCAGUUGCAAGAGACGAUUCCUCAGGAGAGGCAGUGUCGGAGGAUGAACCUUCAACGACACAGAAAUCCUGAGCAGUAGCUAAGACCUUGGUUUUUGAAAAAUCAGGCUUAGAUGAAACCAAUUCCGAUUUCGAGGUCGGAGAUGGAGGAGUUACAGUCACCGGAGGAGCUACAGUCACCGGAGGGGUAACAGUCACCGGAGGGAAUACAGUCACCGGAGCCUUCACACUAGCAGAGGAUCCGCUGGAGGGAGGAGCAGAUUUCCGGAAAAACCCACCGGAGAUAAGAGACGGGAGCCUCGAAGAAGCCUUACCGAAAGGGAGGGACUGUUUUUUCUUUUUCUUGACUUUUGCCAUGACAGAAGAAAGCACACGAGAGAGUAAAGAACAGGGAAGGGAGAAUUCUCAGCGGUGGCGUGAGGCCAAAACCGCCGGUGCGAGAAGGGGAUAAGAAAUCCCUAAUCGCCUUUGCAAUCUCCUAAGAAAUCCCUAAUCGCCUUUUGCAAUAUAUGUUAUGGAUUAUAAUAAUAUCAUUGUGGUUAUUACCAAUAACGUUUGGAAAGAUCAUAUUAAAUAAGAUCAACAUAAUAUCAACUGAUAUCUAUUAUUUUUAAUCAUCAUUUUGACAUGUUGAGAUGAGAUCUACAGAUGUUUGAUAUAAUAUAUAGUUCUAUAGAUAAUUAAAAUUCCUUGUUUCUUUCGAGUUGGUUCAAAAUUAUAAUUAUAAAAGUAAUUUCGUUGUAUACAAAAAUAAAUAAGAUAAAAAGAGAAGUAAAAGGGUUUUACAAAAGUAAAUUCGCUUGCAGAGAAAAAGGUUGAUAGACUCGAAAUCAGCCAGGACAAGUGAUUUGAAUUGAUGAUAUUCGUAUUUAUUGAUUUUCGUUUAUGUUCAAAUGAUAAUUCAACGAACAAUAAGAAUGACCGUUGGAUUCUAUAGUGUCGCUGGUCCGUACAAUAAUCACAUGCCCUUAGGUUGUCCAUAGACCAAACGUGCACACAGUAGUCGUAAUAAUUUACUAUUAAAAGUAGCAAUAAGCAAAAAUUAGAGUUGAAAGACCUAAAAGAACGCUAACCGUUGGAUAAGAGGAGAUGGUUGGAAUGUGUACUUUGACAUCUCCAAAUGGUAAGAAAUUUUGGACAACUUUCUAUAUGUCUUGUAUGUUUUGUGAACUAGAGUUUAUAGUCUAUGAAUAUGGAGAUUGUGACAUUGAACCUAUUAUUGGGUUGUUUCAGUUUAUUUUUUCCACAUUUAGGUGAACAUAAAGCAUAUUUUGAUAUAUGCAAGUGUUGGUGUUUGCUUAGUUUCCAAUUGUGAUGACUAUGUUAGGUAGAGCCUGCAUGGCUUUGAAUGAUAAGUAGAUCAUUUGAGAGUAAAGUCAUUUCUCACUUAUUACGAAGGAUAGAUGUCUCUAGUUAUUAGUAGGGACGUAAAACUUAAUUCGCUGCAACAAUGUAAUAAAGUUUAUUUAAAAAAACACGCCCUACACAAAAAAGUACAACGUCAGCAGAGCGUGAAGCACGUGUUUGUUCAAUCAUAUUCACAUCAAAGCACCGAUUGAUACAUGCUUUUGUUCUAUAGUUUGUUGUUUUCCUUACACAUUUAGAGAUAAGACUAAUUAAAGACACACUUGCUCUCCUUUUUCUAACACAUUUUAUUUACACAGGAAUAAGAGAUUCACGAGUCUUCUGAAAAUCCAGUUCCACUUUGCUUAGACUUUUCUCAUAACUAAUCUCCCCAUCAACAAUCAAUGUCUAGAAAGAAAAAGAAAAACAUAAGAGUACUGCAAACAACAAUCGAUAAUCCCAUAACAUAACAAUGGUUACAAGCAAGCGUCAAUGCCCAUUGUAAGUAACAAAGUAGCAUAAACUUAAAGAAAGUUAUUAGCAACAUCCAAAAAAAGUUAAAAACCAAAACCAAAAAACAUAAAACAUGCAAAAGUUUCCGCUAGCUAGAAGAAUCACAAAUGUUUGAUCCUUUCUCUGUUUUUUUUUAUAUGAGUCUCUUUUCUCUUUUUGGAUUUAUGCCUUACCUUUACCUUUUUUUGGAUUCCUCUUCAAUUAUUGUUUUUUUCCUGAUUUUUGGGCAGGACAAAAUAAUAUACUUCAUCUCCAACACUAACCAACAGCUCCAAACAUGGUGAUGGUUCAACGGUUUGCACCACCCGAGCCAUUCCUGUUGCUCACUGGAUCAGCACCAGAAGACUGUGGCUGACCAUCUGCAACAGCUUUGUUUUCUGCUUCCGGAGGUUGCAGCUGACUACCUGAACCACCAAUUGGCUCUGCUGAGCUCUGACCAAUCGAUAAAUUUCCAACUCGGCUUGCUACUGCAUCAACAGAUUGAGGGCUUGGAAUCAACCAAAGUUGCCAAUUGUGGCGCUUCCUUAUUCCGUCACCCUAACAAAGAAAAUAAAACAUGUGCAAUUAAAUAAAGGCAUAAGUUUUCAAAGCACACAAGAAGGAAAGCAAAUGUCAAUGCCAUAUAUGCCUUUGGAGGAACAUAUAACAAUGAAUUUAUACAUUCAGCUUCAAAACAGAUAACACUACAGGUCACAUAGACAAGAAAAUACCUGCACUUCAACAAAAGGUGAACCUUGUAGAGCCUCCACUAUUUCCUGGAUGCUAUCUGUAAGUUCUGCAACCUGAAGGAAGAAAGAAGCAGCACAUAUAGCUAAAAGUCGCAGAGAGUAAUACAAAUAAUCUGGAUAUGGUACUAAGCAACAAAAUGUAUAGUAGCUAGGAUCAAGUUUUAACAUUAUAUAACACAUCACACGGGAGCAAAAGAAAUAUUCAUAAUCGAAUUUCUUAACAUAUGAAUAAAUUCAUCUACUGGUAAUAUAUAUCACCUGUCUUAACAACAGAUCCCAUUUGCUGAAAGUAUGUACAUGCAUGGCCAAGCUUUAUAUAAACAGUCACUAGAUGUAUCUAAAAAUUUACGAGAUUGAAUACAAGUUCACCCUAGUCCUCAGUUUGAGACAAGCAAAAUGAGUUCUAGUGACCCGGAAGUAAUAAACUUUGAAAUGAAAUAAGAUACACUGUUUAGAUAUCAUAAUCAGGGAAAAGUGAAUGAGACCAAUAGGUAAGACAGCACAUCCAUAAAGUGAUUUACCUUUCUGAAACCAGCAAUCACAUGUAGCGGGGCAAAACCUUGAUCAUCCAUUUGGUCACGGAGAUAGGUGUCUUUAAUCAAAUUCUCUUCACUGUAACAAAAAGAAAAAUUUAAAUCUGAAUUACUCCUUCCCAGAAGAGAAAUGAGCAGUGAGAAAUUCGAGAAAUUCAAUAUGAAGUUACUACCUAAAAUAAUAAUGUAUUUGAUUCUGUAGUUUUAUGUUUAAAGGAGGAUCUUGGACAUGGUAGAAGACUGGACCAGGUGAGAGAGGAGCGACGAAAGGCAUGCCUGGAUAAAACGGUGGUGCCAAUUCUGAAAUGAAGAAGACGCGUUAGAACAAAUAUUAAAUGAAAUUCAAAAGAAGUGAUCUUUCAAUGUGUCUCUCACCAGGAGGGUAUGGUACAGGACUGCCAAAAGACUGAGCUGCCAUAAACUGAGGAGGAAUUGCCUGCACAGGUGGUGGUGGUGGCGGUGGUGCAUAUCUUACAAACGCUGGAGCACCUCUUGGUGACUGUGCAUUUCCAUCUCUCCCAUUAAAGCUUCUGUGGAAAUUCCAAUUCUGAUUCCCGUGCUCCUGAUUGCGCCUGCCACCAUGAUUCUGGUGAUGAUGAUUACCGUUUUGGUUCCUGUGCGAAUCUCGUUGGUUGUCAGCACCACCAUGAGGUUGUGAUGCAAAGCCAUUCUUCUGGUUUUGGCCUCUAGGAGAAGGGUUGUGCGAGGUGCCUUCAACAAGUGAACCCUGCGCUGAUGGCUGAGAAGCAGUACCAUUAGCAGUGGACCCAGAGGCGCCAUUCCGUUUAAAUGAUCUCUGGCGCGAGUGGUUUGGUGUUGGAUUAGGGUUGUUCGCACGGCCGGCUUGCUUUGGUGCAGGAACAGAAGCACUUGCAGCUCCCUGGAUCAAAGACAUAGAGAAUCAUUUUCAUUCUUAGCUCAAGAUAAAGCAUGUCAUCAUGCAUAAGCCAAGGCGAACAUAAAAGCUAAGCAUUUCGUUUUCCACAUUACAAGCUCAAACGAAAAAAAGGAGCUAACUUUGAACAGAAACAAACAUCUUAUGCAUUCACAAUCAAACAUGAACUCAUUAAGACAAAUAACAUGCAGAUACUGAAAGCUACAAAGGUUGCUAAAAGACCACACACCACCAAGCCAUCAUUUUUAUACACCAAAAUGAAGUUUUUUUCAAUAACCAAACAAACACAUGUAACCAAUAAGGCCAUAAGAAUCAACCAAACCUGAGAAACGGACGAGGGCACAUCGCCGAUACUCGAAUCAGAGGAAGGCUUGUUCGAAGGAGCUUUGGUAGCCUCGGAAAGAGCAGGCCACGACGAAGCUCCCAUGACAGGUCCGAUCUCAGAAGCCCCAUUAGACGGCCGACUCCAAGCUGGUUUCUUCCCGGCAUUUCCCUCCGAUUUAUCUUCCCCAGCCGCCGCCUCCACCGUCAAAAGAGCAGCAGGCGGAGCAGCGGAAGCAAUCGGCUCGAUCGGGGGCUUAGAAGUAGCGGCAGCGGCGAUCGUCGGCGGCGGCUCUGAUUCGCCGCGGACGAUUUGAGUCCAGGGAGAAGAAACCUGACGGCGUGAUUGUGCAGCAGUAGGGCUGCUCACGUGACGAGUAGACUCGCUCACGUGACGAGGAUAAUCGCUCACGUGACGAGGAGACAGAGAAGGAGAAGAGGUGGAGUUAUUGGUAGCGGCGGAGGCCAUGAUCAGGGGGGGGUCAAAAAAUUAGGGUUUGUUAAACAGUCGAUGAGCUGAGUCUAAUCAAAACGAGUUAGAGGUGAGAAGAUUAGGGUUAGGGUUUGAGUAAUGCGAAAUGAAAGCUAUUCCCUUAAGGAGAAGACGACGAUGGAAGCUGGAGGAAGCAGCAGUCUUCGUCUCCUCUCUCUCUCUCUCUCUCUCUCUUUCUCCGUUCCUUUUGUUUUUUUUUUUUCUUCUUACUAACCGAGUAACGUGGGAGUGAGAAGUUACGAGACUACCCUUUAGAGUAGCACAAGAAAAAACACACAUUUUUUACUUUCUCUGAUUCUUAUUGGAUGUGAUGCUUAUUGGAGGAUUGUUGACGUUUGCAUUUAGUGAGUAAACAUUAUACGUGUCGCUAAUGUAUUGGUUUGAUUUGUUUUUACACUCUUAAAAUAGGUCAAACUGUUAAAAAUAAUUUAUGUCCACUGAAUUUUUAACUUUUUUACAUGUGAAAAUCAUGUGUUAUUAAUUUUGUAUGUUUUCUAUAAAAAAAAGUAAUAUAAAAUAUUUUAGAGAUUUAUUUCUAAAUCAUAAUGUUUUAAUGUUUCAUAGGAAAAAAUCCUUAAUCAUCACUUUUUUUCAAAGUCCUUAACUUUACUACCUUCGUGAUAGAUUUGUUGUGUAUAUCAACCAUUUAUAUAUUUAGAAUUGGCUGGAAAUCAUGUGGUUAUAAUUUUCAUUAAAUAAAUUUUCUAUAUCAUUUUUUUUAGAAGAUUUGAUUCUUAAUCAUAAUGUUCAAAGUUUGUAGCUUUAUUAUUACCUUCAGGAUAGAUUUGUUGUGUCUACCGUUUAUAUAUUUUUAGAAUUAUAAUCUACAUAUUACUGGCAAUGAUUAUAUCCAUAGACCAUGGUUAUUGUUGAAUUAAUAUAGACAACUUUAAUUCUUACAAAGAUCUUUUAAUUAUUCAUUAGUUUAAGAUAUUUGGUAAGGACAGACUUUGUAUUGUUUCAAAUAUAAUUAAGUUGACUAUUAAUCAUUUAUAAUUUUAUAUUGGUCUGGUAAUGUUGUCAUUUUUGUUUGUUGACAAAAAGAAUGUCAAUGUUACAGCAAAUUAGAUAUUUAUUAAAUCAUUAUACACACCUAACAUAUUUAUAAUGUGAACUUUCGCCUUUAAUCUGUAUUGUUUUUUACAUCUAACUAGGAUAAGACCCGCGCCUUGCGCGGGAUUAAGUUAUUAUUUUUAUUAUAUUUUGGAGAAUGAAACAAUAGUUUGGCUUCAUUUGGAUUACGGGUGUUCAAUCCGAAUAUCGGGUUGGUUUCGGUUCGGUUUGGUUUUUUUCGGUAUUUGGUUAGUAAAAUAUAAUUACUAUUCUAAAUCCAUAUUUACUUUGACUUUAGUCUUUCACAUACUUUUGAAAGAUUUCAACUAGAUGAUUAAAUUGAUCAGCCAAUCUUAUUGCUUUAAAUCAUUAGUGUUUAUAUAUAUAUUAUUUAGUUUAAAUAUUUAUUAAAUAAAAAUUCAUAUGCGUUAUAUUUUAUGAUCAUUUGUAAUUUAUUAUAACAAAAAAAUAAUCUUUUGAUCACAAAAUUUUCAGAGUGGGAAUAUUCAAAUUUCUAAUAAUAUAUAGACGUUUUGAAAAUUCAAAUAUAACAUAUAAGAAAAAUAUAAAUGUUUUUAUUAUAUAUUUAAUGUGAUUUUUUAAUAUCUUUCAAUAAUAUAAAAUUAAAAAAAAGAACUAAGAUACCAAAAUUGUUAUCAAAUAUUUAUUAUUCAUAAUAAUUAAUUUUCAUAUAUACGUUAAUCAUAUUAGGUAAUUUCGUAGCUUCUAAUUAAGGAAAGUGCAAAAAAUAUUUUGGUAGAUUAUUUAUCAAUUCGAUAGUUAGUUUAAUAAAAAAUAUAAUGUAAGUCAAGAUAGACCAACCUAUUUGUCUAAGAAUAGUAUAUUUUAUAUAGUCAUUUAUUAAAUGAGAAUUUAUAAUCAUACAGUUCUAUGAUCAUUCAUAUCAUUUAUGUUUUAUUAUUAAAUGAUAUUUUUUACUCAUAUGGUUUUAAAAUAAAGUGUAUCUUCUUAUAAUAUUAAAUAAAAGUUCAUAUUAAUACAAUUUUAUGAUCAUUUGUAACUUAUUAUGACAAAAAAAUAAUCUAUUGAUCACAAAAUUUUCAGAGUGGGGAUCUUCAAAUUUCUAAUAAUUUAUAGACGUUUUGAAAAAUUCAAAAUAUAACAUAUAAGAAAAAUUAUAAAUGUUUUUAUUAUAUACUUAAUGUGAUUUUUAAAUAUAUUUUAAUAAUAUAAAAUUAAAAAAAGAACUAAGAUACAAAAAUUGUUAUCAAAUAUUUAUUAUUCAUUAUAAUUAAUUUUUACAUAUACGUUAAUCAUAUUAGGUAAUUUCGUAGCUUUUAUUUAAGGAAAGUGCAAAACAUUUUUUGGUACGUUAUUUAUCAAUUCGAUAGUUAGUUUAAUAAAAAGUGUAAUAUAAGUUAAGAUGGACCAACCUAUUUUUCUAGGAAUAGUAUAUUUUGUAUAGUUAUUUAUUAAAUAAGAAUUUAUAAUCAUACGGUUCUAUGAUCGUUCAUAUCGUUUUAUAACAAAAUAUUUAAAUCAUCGAUAACAAAAUUUUCAAUCUGAAAUCUUUAAUAAGUUUAUAAUUUAUAAAUGUUCUUGAAAAUUCAUUGAAAGUUUUAAUAUUAAAAUAUUUAUGUAAUCUUAUGGUAUAUAGUGUUUAAUAUAUAUAUAUAUAUAUAUAUAUAUAUAUUUAUUUAUUUUAUUAUUAAAUGAUAUUUUUACUCAUAUGGUUUUAAAAUCAUGUGUAUCUUCUUAUAAUAAAAAUGUUAAACCAUUGAUCAUUAAUUUUUAACAUAAUAAUUUUAAUAGUUUUAGUCAUUUAUUGUCGUUUUUAAAAAUUCAAAAUAUAACAUAUACGAAAAAAUCUAAAUUUUAUUUUUAUAGCUAAUUUGAUUGUUUAAUUUAUUUUAAUAAUAUAAAAUUAAACAAAAAAUGAUGGAGGAGAUAUAUAUUGUUAUCAAAUCUUUAUUAUUAAACUCAUUAAUUGUCAUAUAUAUAUUAGUCAUUUAUGGUAAUUCCGUAGGUUUUAUUUAAGGAAAGAAAAUAUCAUAUCAUAUCAUUAUAUCAUAUAGUUUGACCAACUUAUGUAUCUAACAACAUAUAAAAAUCGAAUGUGGACCUACUUAUUUUUCAAUUGAAUGUAAUUGACUACCUAAUUGAGUGACACCUAUGCAUUGGGGCCUCUUUUAAUUAAUACAAAAUUGAGGUUACAUCUUUUCAAAUGUUCCUCAAUUAAUAUAUAAGGGAUCUACUAAACUAGUCUCGUAGACAUGGUCAUGGACUCAUACUGGUGUAACAAUGUUUACAUCAUCGAUAUACAGGGUCGAUAUAUCUACAAAUCUUUCAUAUACUACCCCAUUUAGAAUACGAUUUUUUUCUUCAAAAUAUAUUUCACCAAUAAUGUGAACAUAUAUGUGUAUAUAAUAUAUAACCAAUUCAUUAUCUUUUCGUACAUUCCAAGGUUGUAUAGAGAAUAUCAAGAAACCAACACAUAGUUAAUAUUGGCCCAUUCUAUACAAGAAACGAGGUUCAUAAGUGGGCAUAUAUCAGAUGUGUUACAAAAAACAAAAAAAAAUUUAUGUAUAUCAUAGUAUAUUUUUUUUUGUCAACAGUAUAUCAUAUAUAUAUAUAUACAUAAAAAGGUUAUAAUUUGCCAGAACUAGAGUUAACUUGAUAGUGAUAUGAGUGGAAGAGCAUACAUAUCCUGAACAGACAGAACCAUUCUCUAUAGUUUCGUUAUGAUACCGUAGUAGUAGUAGUUUUUUUUUUGCUAAGUCAGUCGUAGUAGUAUUAGAACAUAUCUGAAAAGACCGUGGCUCUACUGUUUUACAUCUUUAGUUAGAGGAAGAGCUAAGCUACUCUUUGGAGAUGAUCUUGUUUGUUUGUUUUGUGUGGCUCCGAGGAACUAUUAUUGAGCCCGGAGCACCGUGGCCUCUGUUAUGUUUGCUCCGGCAAGAGUUGUCUUUGUCUCUUCCAUAUCAUAGCCUGCGUUAGAGACAUUCACGGAAUUAAUAAGUCAGAACACAACGACUGUUCAAAGUGAUUUAGUAAACAUAAGAGAGGAAACUUACAGUCAAGAAAAUAAACUGAGCUCACAAGAUGUAAAGUGAAGAGAUACUAACUGCUACUAAACCGAAUGUGACACAUGCCUCAACACUCUCUGGUUUCUUAUAUUCGGUUGUUAAGUGCAUAACAUCUCCAUAAGAAAGACACCAUGUAGAGGCAAUUGCUAAUUUUUGUUUCUUCUGACCUCUUAAGUCUCUUAAUCACAUUUAAACAGAAAAAAUCCCGUUUAUAAAUUGCAAGAGAUAGUGACUGCAACAAACAUAAUUCUCUCAAAAGAUGGAUUAUACACAAAAAGGGAUAUACAAACUUACAAAGAGAGAAUCCGUAACUUCGAGAAACAGAUUCCAAAACUCGAUAUGGUGGUCAAAGACCAAAACUAAUAAGUCAUAAGGUUACAGAAACAUCAUCUGUUGUAAGUGUCCCAGUCAAAGUUGGGUUGAGAAUAAGCUUCGUAAUCAACUGGCCCGUCGACGAUGCUAUCAACGGUCUGAAUACUCCUGAGAAGAGCCGGCUGAUACCGUUCUGUAUCCGAAGGCAAAAGCUUGUACAUCACAAGCAACCCAAGCGUGAAAAUCGCUUGAAGCUUCGUGGAAUCUCCUUUGACAGAGAAGAAAAACAGCAUGGAGACGAUGUACAGGUCGAUGCAGAACCGCAUGAUGCACAAAACCGUGUCCAUCAGCUUCCCUUCGUUCCCUGCAGGGAAGCCGCGGACUCUGUACACGUAUAGGAAGUUGUAUUUGUCGACAAUGUAUCUGUAACCAAAGUAAACCGCUCCUACGGGAACCACGAGUGGAGCGAACGAAGAGUAUAUCAUUGUCAAGGCAAAGAUGGUGAGGUUGAAGGCAUAGUAUUGUGCAAAGUCGAACUUUUGCUUUGGGAUUGGUGAGGUUCGGCUGAUUGGGUACUCAGCAAGGUCUUGGCUCAUAGGUUCAACGUCGCCGAAUCUUGGAGACUCGAACAUGUUUUCAGGGAGAAGCGGCGUCUCAAGGUUGCUUUGAUUUUCCAAAGGGUACUCUUCGUUUUGCUCGGGGACUAGCUGAAGCAUAUCGUUCUUCCUGAACUUCUGGAUUUUUUUCUUGAUCCAAGGGAUUGGAGCGAGUAGAUCAAAGGAGAUUCCCAAGAACGUGCUUGUGAUGAGGAACGCUAGAGCGGAAACGCAUGACCUUGAUAAGAAGGAAGGGCUCACGUAUUCUUCAAUCCUCUUGCAAUCCUCGCCGUCUAAGUAGCAGCGGCUCAUUUUCAAGAACGCGCUUUCAAGCGACGACUCGACGAGAGCCUUUAGCACGAUGAGGUUCACGAGGAAGAAGCAAACCAUCUUCAAGAGAGCUGCUCUUUGUUCCCCUGAGACAGUUAGGUGCCGCUCGAACUUGGAAAGGUAGGAGAGAGCAGAAGGGAUGAUAAUGUACAUGCUAACGAAUAUGAACACGUUGGGCAUGAACUGAAAAAUCAGAGAACCGAUCCAGCCAGAAGUUUGCACCCAAGUGAGCCAAGACUGAGCACUAUCCAACGCUUCAGCAUUAAAGAUUCUCCCGGCACUCACCAAUGCACUAAUCAACGCCAAUGGAGAGCUGAAAAACACAAGAAUCAACAGAAGAAUAGUGUUAACAAUCACUCUUCUCACGAUAAGAGCGAUCUUAGUCAACCCCAGAUGAUUCCAGUAAAUAUCAGUCGCCAAGGGAGCUCUCUCAACUUUCCACUGGUUUCUCUGUAGUCUUAGCUCUGUGACAGAGAAGAACUUCCCAGUCCGCCUUGACCUCUCGUUUCUGAAAUCCUGAACAGCCUUGUUAGCUGUGUAAACAUCUUUAAACACCACAAACGCAACACCAGCGCCUUGUGCACGCCCUUCUUUAUAAAACGCUAACUGAGAUUCCAAAUCAGCUCUCAGCUCUUGCAGCUUCCUCAGCUUCUCAUCAUCUGUAAAACCAAACCUCUCUGUAACCCCAGACCACAAAACCUUCACCUUAGCCCACAAAGCAAACACAUAAGACAAUACUCCUUCAUCUCCACUAUUCUCAAACUCAUCCGGCAACAACCUAGAGUCCAUCUUCGCAACCAACCAAGUGAUCUCAUCCCUAACACGAACCAACUCCGUUGCCAGAUCAUCCAACGCACACAGAUCCAUAGGAACAAUAAUCUUAUAAACCUUCCCAGGAUACUUCUGCCGAAAACACUCCUCAAACUCAACUCUAUCAGACCCUAGAUUCUUAGGCAAGCCCUGCACCAUCACAGUAAACACAGCCGUGGAAUCCGCAUUGGGGUCACUCACAUUCCCAUUCCCAUCUCUAAACCUAGUAAACUUCAACCUAGCUUCAAUCGCCGAGAUUCCAAAAUGCGAGAUCACCACAACAACAACCACAAAAACAAAAUGCAGCCAGAGCAAGGCCGAGCCUUUCUUGAUAUGCGUGAUCAUGGUCUUCGAAAGCUCGUCGCUCAACACAGCAGUCCCCGCGUAGAGAUUCAAAGGCAACAUAACGGAGAGAGCCAAAAGGGCGAUGGAGAAGAGAAGCACGAAGCUCCCGCCUUCGAUCAAGAGGAACUGAGCGGCGUCGGCGCCGCAGUGGCGAGCGAUCUCGCGGCACGUGGCGGACCAGACGGCGAGGAGCUUGGAGAGGAGAGCGGAGGGACCGGGCAUGCGGCGGUGGUCGCUGCGGAGCUUGAGGAAGAGGAAGAUGGAGACGCAGCAUAGGAGGCCGAUCAUGGAGAUGUUGAGGAGGUACUGGAUGUUUCCGUACCAGGCAUCGGGGAUCUCGGGUAAGUCGCCGGAGGAUGGGGGAGGAGAGGAGGAGGAGGAGGAAGAGAGCGGCGGCGGCGUCGCGGCUGGCGAAAAACUGCGAUGCAUCGCGAAUUUUUUUCCUAUCAAAGCUUCAAUUUUUAAGCAACACAGAGCUUCGGUUUUUCUUCAGAUUCAAUGAGGAGAGGAUUUGGGGAUUUAGGGUUUGGUUUCGAUCGACAAAGGAUUGUGAUCGAAGAAGAAGGAAGAAUUGCGAUCGAAGAAGAAGGAAGGAAUCUUAUCUCACAGAUUCUAUUUUCCUUCAUUAUGUUUGUUUAUUAUUUAUCAUCUGGUCCCUGUAGUUUUAACUAAUUAAUAAAAAUGUAUAUAAUCUCUUAUAUACUAUAGUACAAGUCGAUUCACCAAUCAAAUUUCGAUAAAUCGCAUAUUUAAUAGCACAAAAACUAAAGGCAAAAGUUAAAGUUUUGUAUCCCUUACAUAGUUCCUAUUUUUCUAUACAAAUAAAAUAAAAAAUCUCUAAUCUCAAUUCCAAAACACCCAUGAUCCCACUAUUUUUUUUGGAGUAGUUAAUCUUUUUUAUAGAUAAGGUUAACUGAUGAUACCAUUAGGGCAUGAUUAACUCCGGUCUCUUAACCGAUGUUCUUAAUUUAUAAUUUGACUUUUUUUUACACUUUUCGGUUAAGAAACGGCUUUUAGGGCAUGAUUAUUAGAGGUCCUUGCUCUUGGGUCCUUAAUACACAUAUAUUUGUAUGUAUAUAUAUAUAUAUGCGUAUAUAAUUGCAGGCUAAGGAUUUUACAGAAACUCAAACCGAAAGUUCCUUAAAUACAAAUAUAUGUGUAUUAAGGACCCAGAGCAGGGACCCCCAAUAAUCAUGUCCUUAUAUCUCUUAUUUAAGAGACAGCCCUUAUUUUUCUUUAGUUAAAAUUUAAGAAAAGUUAAGAACCGUUUCUUAUCCGAACCUAAGAACUUCAAUUAAGAAACUGAGGUUAAUGGUGAACAGUUGUAAGUGAUAUAAAUUAAGAUAUAAUAAAAUUGAAUAGUUUUCAACAUAGAUGAGUGAAAGUAAUUAAUCAUGAUAUUCUUGGAUUUAGGAUUUGGUAACAUAUGUUAUAGUAUUGUAUGUAUUUUUAGAGUUUGAUUUUGGAAAGAUUAAAUGUUUUUUUGAAAAAUUAAUUUUUUACCUAUAUGUGUUGAUUGAUGUGUAUAGUAAACACUUUUUAAGUUUAAUUUGGUUUUAUGAAGUGUUUAGUUAAUUAAUUUAGUGUAGAUAUUAUGUUUAGGGUCUAGACGACUAACAUAUAUAUUUAUUCUAAGAUAAGAAAAAUAUUUGAUUUUAGUGUAUAGAUAUUAGUUGUUAUUUUUUGAAAUUUGACAUUUAUAUUAUUUUUGUUAUAUUAUUUGAUGAAUAUAAUAUAUAGUUUAUAUAUAAUAUUACUAAAUCUCAUCAAAAAUAUAUUAAGUUUUAAGGAAAUAUAAAGAUAAUUCCAUUGUGAAUAUAAAACAAACAAUAUAAUAGGUUCUUACUUAUAUAAAAUAUGUAUACAUAUAAAUUAUUAAUUUAUAAUUAUAAUGAGACCAUAUAUUAACAUAGAAUUUUCUAAAAAAUCUUAUCUUAUUAUUUUAUCGAUUUGUAUCAAAUUUUGAAUCGAUCUAAAUUAGAACCGGCAAAAUUUAUUAGUUUGUAAAGUUUAUUAAUUUAUCGAAUAUUAAUUUACAGAGAUUCUAUUGUAGAUCAAAGAAGAACUGACGAAGACAACUAAUAUACGUUAGUGCGAUAUGUGAAAAUUAUUGACCAAGAAGUUGCAUGAAACUCUAUCCAAGUUAUUCCAAACUUAAAAAAGGAAAAGUUAUUCGAUGCAUGAUGAACUUUUUUUUUUUUUUGGGGUCAUGGACUCAUGGCACAUGUGCAAGGUGGAAGGAUCAGGAGCUCCGAAUAUUCAGUAAAAAAAGUAAAAUAAUUAAUUAAAUUAUUAUUCAUUUGAUGCAAAAAAAAAAAACAGUGAAUAUUCAGGAAAAAAAAAUCAAAGCAGCCAUCACUUCUGAAGAGAAGAGCCCCCACACGCAUAUUUUCAGAUAUUUUUUUUUAUUCCUACAUAUAAAAAUCUUUAUCGUCGUCUUCCGAUUCAUCGCAUCGCCAACUCCGCAAACUCAGAUCUCUGAUUUGCUUCUUCAUCCAUGGGUACCUACCUGCUCUCUCCAGUUCUGUCUAUGAUCCAAAACGAUUCAUUAUUAUUUGGCUUUGUUAUUUGAUUUGAUUUUGUUUGUCUCGAUCCGAUGCGUUUUCAGCUUCCGAGAAUCCUUUCCGCAGCAUACUGAAGACGCUAGAGAAGCCCGACGGUGGCGAAUUCGGAAACUACUACAGCUUGCCAGCUCUGAACGAUCCGAGGAUCGGUGAGUGUUCGCUUCCAUCUGAUGAUCGUUAGCUAGGAACAAAAAUAGUCAGAGAUUCAUUUUGUUGUGGAUGAUGCAGAUAAGCUCCCUUAUUCCAUUAGGAUACUUCUCGAAUCGGCUAUACGUAACUGUGAUGAGUUUCAAGUUAAGAGCAAAGAUGUUGAGAAGAUUCUUGAUUGGGAGAAUACUUCUCCCAAACAAGUUGAGAUUCCGUUCAAACCUGCUCGUGUGCUUCUUCAGGUAUACACAGGCUAAGAUAAGGCACAUGAUUGAGAAUUGUUUGAUCGUAAUUCUCAGAUUAAAGGGCGAAACAUAAUCAACUUUGAAUGGGAUAUCGAUUGCUUGUUGAACCCUGUGAAUUGCGGAAAGAGUGCUAUACACGUUCUUGUUGAGAUAAUAAGUUUGCUUGUAUUUAUGUAUCAAUAAAAACUAUAUAUUUGAUCGUAUAACAUUUAUUUUGUAAUAGUUUCAAACCCCAUAAAUCUCAUUUCCGGAAAUAGAUUGAUUUUAAAGUCAUUUUUUUUUCUGUUUGUUUUCAGGACUUUACUGGUGUCCCUGCAGUUGUUGAUCUUGCUUGCAUGAGAGAUGCUAUGAAUAAUCUCGGUGGUGAUUCUAAUAAGAUUAAUCCUCUGGUUAGUUUUCGCUGCUAUUUACUGAGAUUGGUUGAUAUUAUUUGUCUGUAUGGUAUGGUACAAGGUUUUUUUUUUGUACAUGCAGGUCCCUGUAGAUCUUGUCAUUGACCACUCGGUUCAAGUGGACGUGGCGAGAUCAGAGAACGCAGUGCAGGCCAACAUGGAGCUUGAGUUCCAGCGUAACAACGAAAGAUUUGCUUUUCUUAAGUGGGGUUCCAAUGCCUUUGACAACAUGCUUGUCGUUCCUCCUGGAUCUGGAAUUGUUCAUCAAGUAAGUAAUAAGAGUUCUGAAAUUAAGUGUUAUUUGUUUGGAACGUUGGGAGUCUUUUUGAUGUUUAUUCAAGAUAAAUGCCUCACAGUUCUAUAAUUUUGCGAUUUUCAGGUCAACCUAGAGUACCUUGCCAGAGUUGUUUUCAACACAAAUGGACUUCUUUACCCAGACAGUGUUGUUGGGACAGACUCUCACACCACUAUGAUUGAUGGACUCGGUGUUGCUGGGUGGGGAGUUGGUGGUAUAGAAGCGGAAGCUACCAUGCUUGGUCAGGUAAAUUGUAUGAUCUUUCUGUCAAGUACUCAGAACGAACUGUCUGAAGUCUUUUGCAGUUGAGAUUUGAACACUUUACUGAUAUUUCUUCUAUUAUAAACUGUAACAUGGAUAUAUCUCUUUCUAUGCAGCCAAUGAGCAUGGUCCUGCCUGGUGUUGUGGGUUUCAAGUUAACGGGUAAACUAAGAGAUGGAAUGACGGCUACUGAUUUGGUCUUAACAGUGACUCAGAUGCUGAGAAAACAUGGAGUAGUUGGAAAGUUUGUUGAAUUCUAUGGUACAUUCAUGAAAAACUUGAUAACCAUAUAUGCCAUUUUCUUUUACUUACACUGUACCUGACUGAGCUAGGCUAACUCACAUAUGCACCCAUUGCUUUUUGCUACACAGGGGAAGGGAUGAGAGAAUUGUCUUUAGCUGAUCGUGCUACAAUUGCUAAUAUGUCUCCCGAGUACGGUGCAACCAUGGGAUUCUUCCCCGUCGAUCAUGUGACUUUGCAGUAUCUCAAGUUGACAGGCAGGAGCGAUGAAACUGUAAUGGGAUACACGGGGAAUCUACUUUUUUUUGUGAUUGCGUUUCCAUCAGGGUAGUAAUUUGUGAAUUGAAUUUCAGGUCUCUAUGAUAGAGGCGUAUUUACGAGCAAACAAGAUGUUUGUGGACUACAGUGAGGUAAAUCCUGGACUCUGUUACCUCAUUUCUUUUGUUUAUUUUCAUCUAUCAUAGAGCAUAACACAUUCUCCACUUGGGGACUUCUUUCUCUCAGCCGGAGAGUAAGACCGUAUACUCCGCAAAUCUGGAAUUGAAUCUCGAGGAUGUGGAACCUUGUAUUUCUGGUCCCAAGAGGUACUAAUAGCAAAAUUGUUCUACAUAAGUUUUCUAGGAUGUAUUCUGAUUAUAACAUUUAUUCUCUAUGCAACAGGCCACAUGAUCGCGUUCCUUUGAAGGAAAUGAAAGCGGACUGGCAUUCUUGCUUGGAUAAUAGAGUAGGAUUCAAGGUUAGAAUUAUUCUUUCUUGUUCAGAAGAAAUUCUUAAUGUGAAUGCUUGCAGUCCCGAGGGUUUAGUAGGAAAUUAUAGCCCAUCUAGCAAAACUGUUACUGUGGUUUUCUAACAAUAGUAGGUAUUAUGUCGAGGUGUUUGAGUCAUUAAAUUGGUGCAAUAGACAACUGUGUCCUGCAACACAAUUUAGUCCCAGUAUACAAAAGUUGUGGUUAGUGAUCCUACUUCUCAAUGAUAUUCUCAGGGGUUUGCUGUACCAAAAGAGGCGCAGAGCAAGGCUGUCGAGUUCAACUUUAACGGAACCCCAGCACAGCUUAGACAUGGAGAUGUUGUUAUAGCAGCAAUCACCAGUUGCACAAAUACCUCAAACCCUAGUGUUAUGCUUGGCGCUGCCUUGGUUGCAAAAAAGGCUUGCGAACUAGGACUGGAGGUUCGACUACUGCCCUUUCUAGCCAUCUCUUUUGUGUGAACAUGUUUUGAUAUCAAAUGGAAGUUAUACAAGUGUUUGAAAUUUCUCCAUUGUUAGGUUAAGCCAUGGAUUAAAACUAGUCUUGCUCCUGGCUCUGGAGUUGUAACAAAGUACUUGGCAAAGAGGUACUGCAAAUACACCACUGAAUGUUUUGUUAUUUAUUUCCUCCUGGUAUCAUGUGGUCCUGAGUUUUGAGUCUUGCAGUGGCUUGCAGAAAUACUUGAAUCAGCUUGGAUUCAGUAUAGUUGGUUAUGGGUGCACCACAUGCAUCGGAAACUCGGGGGAUAUCCAUGAAGCUGUGGCUUCAGCAAUAGUUGAUAAUGGUAAGUCCUCGAGUAAUGACUAAAUGCUUAUUCACUUUAAUUUUCGUAGGUGGAACUAAAAAUAUUUCUGAUCUAUGUACAAGACUUGGUGGCAUCCGCUGUGUUGUCCGGGAACAGAAACUUUGAGGGACGUGUUCAUCCAUUAACAAGAGCGAACUAUCUAGCUUCCCCUCCGCUUGUUGUAGCCUAUGCACUGGCUGGCACUGUAUGUUAAUGCUUACUCUAAACCCUUGCACAACAAUUAAGUAUUCUUGAUAAUGUUAUCAAGCACUGAAUAAAUUCCAUGAAUGUUCUUGCAGGUUGACAUUGAUUUUGAGACGGAGCCCAUUGGAACUGGGAAAGACGGCAAACAGAUAUUUUUCAGGGACAUAUGGCCCUCUAACAAAGAAGUUGCCGAGGUAAAUAUAUUGCGGGCUGCUCGUGCAAUACAUAAACAAUUAAGAGAUUUUAAUAGUUAGAAGGGAUGUCAAAUUCUCUGUUUCGUUUUUUAUAGGUUGUGCAAGCCAGUGUCCUUCCUGACAUGUUCAAAGCUACAUAUGAAGCAAUCACCAAAGGGAACUCCAUGUGGAACGAGUUAUCCGUAGCGUCGGGCACACUCUACGAAUGGGAUCCGAAAUCAACUUACAUUCACGAGCCGCCUUAUUUCAAGGGCAUGACCAUGUCUCCACCCGGUCCACAUGGUGUGAAAGACGCGUACUGUUUGCUCAAUUUCGGAGACAGUAUAACCACUGAUCACAUCUCACCAGCUGGUAGCAUCCACAAGGACAGUCCAGCGGCUAAGUACUUGAUGGAACGAGGGGUGGAUAGAAGAGACUUCAACUCUUACGGGAGUCGCCGUGGUAAUGAUGAGAUAAUGGCGAGAGGCACUUUCGCCAAUAUCCGUAUUGUCAACAAACACUUGAAAGGAGAAGUUGGUCCCAAAACAGUUCACAUUCCCAGUGGAGAGAAGCUUUCUGUCUUCGAUGCUGCCAUGGUAUAAACAUCAACUUCUAGCUCUUUAAUCAUGAAAAGCUUUGGAAACAGAAUGGCAUUGUCCUUAUCAGAUUGUAUUUUCUUUUGUGUGUUGUACCAGAAAUACAAGAACGAGGGACGUGACACAAUCAUUUUGGCUGGUGCUGAGUAUGGAAGUGGAAGUUCUCGUGAUUGGGCUGCUAAGGGUCCAAUGCUUCUGGUACGUUCCUGGCUUAUAUGCUUUUUUCCGUCUUUAACAAACUCAAUUUUUUACAUGGUUUUAAAAUGUAUUACAACAACAGGGAGUGAAAGCUGUGAUCUCAAAGAGUUUUGAGAGAAUCCACCGAAGCAAUCUGGUGGGAAUGGGAAUCAUACCAUUGUGCUUCAAGACAGGAGAAGAUGCGGAGACUCUACGCUUAACAGGCGAGGAGCUUUACACCAUUGAGCUCCCAAGCAAUGUCAGUGAGAUCAAACCAGGACAAGAUGUAACGGUCAUUACAAACAAUGGCAAAUCUUUCACAUGUACACUCCGAUUCGACACAGAGGUAAAAAGAAUAAAAAAAAAACUCAUCUUGAUUCUUCUAGCUUUAAAAGAGACGGCAGAUGUUAAGUAAGAUGGAUUUGAAAUGGCAGGUGGAGUUGGCUUACUUCAAUCACGGAGGUAUAUUGCAAUACGUAAUCAGGAAUCUGAUCAAACAGUAAUAAAUCUGGUAAGCCACGAGGGACUUCAUGUCAAUGUGAACUUUGCUUCAUGCUACAGUCUCUUGGAACCAUUGUCACUUUCACUGUCACAAUCGUUUUCUAAAUUUGAAAUAAAAUAUGAGCACUCUUUUGUUUUACCAGGAGAAAAUGGAUCGGUAUUAUUUAUUUAUUGUCUAUCGAACAAUAAGAUUGAGGUUUUUUUUUACUAUAGUUGAUAAGGUAACAUCAGCUACAUAAGUUUAGCUGCUGCAGAGUUUGAGAGCUUUUAAGAGACGUAUCAGUAUGAAAUUGAAAAUGAUACACAUACUAGUUCAUGUUGUUAGUUAGAUUUGGUCAUGUAAACCUGCAAAAGACGACAGAUACAUUAAAACAAUCAGAGACAAUACAAAGUAAUCAAUACUAAAGUGAGAUUAAGAGCGCUUUGACCUUGUGUUUCAAGAAAAAAGAAAAAAAAAGAGAGCUUUAACCUCUUAAAAAGCCAUCUUCAUUUUAUUCAAGCCGUGUACUCGUUAAAGUGAAACCAUUUAGUUGAUGACCACUUGUUUCCUUUGAUCACGGGACAACCACCUGAAAUCAACCAGACAACCUUUUGAGAUAUUUGGUUCAAAGAAAGGCAAUCUAUCUCUGUUUCUUACCAUGCAAGCUUGAAGGGUCUAGCGACGCAUCAGGCCUCGCGCUCCAGAAGAGUAAAGCAUCUCUUUUCUUUGGUAAAACAGAGAGUCCUUCUCUACCACAUUGUGAGAGCUCGUUCCACCACGGGACAUCACUUAUGUUUCCUUUGGCUGCAGGGAAAACCGUCUCACCGCCUUCUUCAACAUCCGAGCUAAGAUAGUAGUACAAUCAAAGAAAGAUUAUUACAUCUAACGCAUUGAUGAUCAUGAGAAAGAUUGUGAAACUUUAUAGUUAACAUACAGAUACAUGAGUACAGUAGCUAUUCGGUUCCCUCCUCUUUUGACAUUGUACUCGUCUGAGAAAUAAUCAUGAUGAGGCUCAUAUUUCUGCCCAACUUCGUAAUGUAGAACUUGUAGCCCUUCUCCAUUUUCUACAGUUACAUCACACAUUAACUCAACAAGAAGAGUGUCUCCACCAAAAUUUAGACUAAGACGACCAACUUCUUUUUGUUCGGUCUGACAAUCUAAACCGGUACCAAGUUUUGGAGAACUAAAAGGACAGAGGCUACGUACCUACAGGAAUGAAGGUGAAAUCUGAGAUUCUGUUCUCAAUCUCUUCCACUAUUUCGUCUUGUCCUCUUUUAAGAAAAGUUCCUGAGCUUGUUCUUACUCUGCACAUUAUUCGAUUUGUAAGAUUUAGAAUUAAACUUGAAGGAGAAAAAUAUAUCAAUGAGUAACAGAACCUGCUGUCUUUGCUUCCUCCAGUUUUCACAUCAACCACCUUUGACUUUUUCAUGCUAGGUUUCGCGAGGCUAAUCAAGUGCUCACAUUCUUCAUUUGUCUUGCAAAAUUUUAAAGAACACACAGAGCCCAAGAUCAAAAUUACAAACACUUUUUAAUGUAUUUAGAUAGUGUCAAACAUGUGUUCCCUAUGACUUUUGAUUGGAAGAGUAAGAGAUCUAAACACAAGGGAAAUUUUUAAACUAGUAAGUUAAUAUUCCAUCGCUUGUGUGACAAGAAACAUCUUGAAUAAGCAUAUGAUGAAGCAAAGUUCUAAACACAUGGAAAAUUAAACCAAGUUCAGAUUUCUUCUCUUGUAUGACAAGAAACAUAUUUAACUAUAUGAAUAAGCAUGAUGAAGUUAAGUUCUUUAUAAAUCAUAUAAGGCCCUGUUCGUUUGUACAUCUGGAAGAUGCAUCCAGAUGGUCCAUCUAGAUGUCUUAUCCAGAUGUUUCAUCUGAGUGUUGUUCGUUUCUUCAUUUCGUCCAUGUAUCCAGAUGAGUCAUCUGAAUGCAACUAUGUUCGUUUGCUUUUCAUUUUGUAACUUCCAUCUCUAUCUAAGUGGACUUGUUAAUAAAAUGAAUAAAAUAUAAUUUUUUACGUUUCGGCGGAAAAAUAGCAUUUUUACGGUUUUGGCCGAAAAUAUUUUUGCGGUUUUUGAGGAAAUAUGUGUUUUUCGCGAAAAAGUGCAUUUUUAUGGUUUUGGAGGAAAAAUAUGUUUUAUUGGUUUGGCGGAAAAAUACGUUUUUGCGGUUUGGACGGAAAAAAUGUGUUUUGAAGUUUUAGCGGGAAAAGGGUUUUUGACGGGAAAUUUCUUUUUUCACGAUUUUGGCGGGAAAAGUUUUUUUCGCAAUUUUGGCGGGAAAAGCAUUUUUGCGGUUUUGGCGGGAAAAUACAUUUUUUCGGUUUUGGCGGAAAAAUGCGUUUUCCGGUUUUGGCGGGAAAAUACAUUUUUCCGGUUUUGGCGGGAAAAUGUGUUUUCCGGUUUUGGCGGGAAAAUGUGUUUUCCUGUUUUUGCAGAAAAAUGUGUUUUCCUGUUUUUGCGGGAAAAUGUGUUUUUCCGGUUUUAGUGGGAAAAUGUAUUUUCCAAUUUUGGCGGGAAAAUACGUUUUCUGUUUUUGGCGGGAAAAUUUCAUUUUCUGGUUUUAGUGGUAAAAUUGUAUUUUUCAGUUUUGGCGGAAAAAUGCGUUUUUCUGGUUUUGGCGGGAAUAUUCUGUUUUUCGGUUUCGGCGGGAAUAUUCUGUUUUCCGGUUUUGGCUGGAAAAUUCUGUUUUCCGGUUUUGGCGGGAAAAUACAAUUUUUCGGUUUUGGCGGGAAAAUUGUGUUUUCCGGUUUUGGCGAGAAAAUGCUUUUUGCGGUUUUGGCCGAAAAAUGCUUUUUGGAGUUUUGGCGGGAAUUUGCGUUUUUUUUGUUUUGGCGGAAAAAUGCAUUUUUUUCGGUUUUGGUCGAAAAGUGCGGUUUUACUGGUUUAGCCGAAAAAUGUGUUUUUAUGAAAAUGUGUGUUUUAUGUUUUUUUUGUGGAAAAACGCAUCUUGCGGUUUUGGCGGGAAAGUGUAUUUUUUAGUUUUUGCGAGAAAAUGCAUUUUUUAGUUAUAGCGGAAAAAUGUAUAUGCAAAAAAAUAAAAUUUACGGUUUGAAAAUAAUAUUUUUAUUUUAAAAAAUCAUUUUUGUCACUUAUCAUUUUGGACUGAACUAGAUGCAUCUGCAUCCAGAUGCACCAUCAAGACUCACCUUCAUUUGGGUGAGUAUUUGAGAUGAGUUUUUAAAAAUUCAGCUGGGUGAUCUAUCUGGAUGUAGCAUUAUAAUGCACAAAACGAACAUCAAUUUGCAUCUUCACCCAGAUGGAUCAUCCGGGUGUGCAAACGAACAGGGCCUAACAAAUCUAAAUCACAAUUGUAGCAAACAUAUAAUUACCAUGAAAUUAUGAUAAAGGAAAGCUCUAGGCUCCCACGAGAUAACUUCGACCCAACGGUCACCAUUACCAUCUUCAUUUCCAUAGCUCUCCCUGCUUGAUAAAUUCAAAUCUAUUACUCAACCAGGAAACGAAGAUAACUUGCCAAAUAAGCGAAAGAAACCCUAACCUCUCCUCGCUAUCCCGUAUAAUUGUGGUCAAAUCAACCGGCCUUGAAGAGUUCCUGCUGGUGUUAGGUAGUGAAAGGAUACCGAGACCAAGAAGAAUCAUGAUGAAGAAGAGUAGAAGAAUGAUAACUGUGAAAGCCUGCGUAGUCGUCGAUGAAGAUUUACGCGGCUGAUGACGGAGGUGAUACGGUUUCUUGGCCAUUUGAGUUUUAUCUAUAAGUUUUCAAGAACUGUAGAGAAUCUGAUAUGUCGAAAGAUAUGUUACAAUGAAAACAUGUAAACAUCCAUCAUGAACUUAUUAACCAGGAUAUUUAUUACUCUGCUUUAGUAGAGAAAAUAGGGUAGAUCAAAAAUUUAAUUUUAUCAACACAUCUCGUCAACUCAUUCUCUAUAUAAUCUAAAUGGAUAUUUAUAUCAAAUUUCAUGCUAAAUAUAGUUUGAAAACAAGCUAAGAAAAAAAAUUGUAAUUUGCAAAGACGGUAUCUGUAUUUUCAAGAAAUUUUAAGAACUGUGGACAAGUGAAAUAAACUAGUUAGUUCAAUUCAAUAUUAAAAAUUAGUUUCCCUUGGGGAUAUUUAAGGAGUUAGGCAUUUCCUAUACUAAGAUGAAUUAUAGAUAUCUUAAAGUUUCAACCUAAUUGCAUAGUUUAUAUUUAUAAAUUGUUACAGCAUAUGGAUUCUUUUCUUAUUUUCUAGCUUUGAGCCACUUGCGGUUAGUUAAUUAAUUGUUAGAACCUUUAUUGUUUGGUAUUUCUAGCAUACUGUUCAGCUUUCACCAAUGUAGUUAAGUGAGGUUACUAAUGUCGUCAUCGUUUUGUUUUACUCAUAGAUAAAUCCUACAUUGGUUUGUUCACGACCAUUUUUAUUUCAGUGUUCUCAUGCAAUAAAUCUUUAGAUGAAAGUUAAACUAGUAGCUGAAAUAUAUUUGAUUAAACUUGUCAAUUGCUACAUUACAUAUAAGAUUGAGACUGGUUAAAAAAUAAAAGUAAAGAAAGAUAAAGACUGGUUAUAUUAACACAUUAUUCAUCAUAUAUCUUAGCGAAUUAGCCUGCUUAUUGUAAUUAAUUUUUAUCCCCCCCCCCCUACACCAAAAAAAAAAAAUUAACCCUACUUAAUUGUAAUGUUAAGAAUGUGAACCAAGUUCACCAACAAAAGAAAAUUAAAACAAGCCGAGCUUAAUGGUUCUUUUGAGAAAACUACUGUUAUUCUGACUUUUUCAUGUGUGAAAAUUAAAACAAGCCGAGCAUAAAAAUUCGUUACAUCGGUACAGAAAACCGGAAUUGAACAAGAAAUCUAAACCAACUAAACCGAAUCUUGAACUCUUAAUAACCAUAGACACAUGGCUUUCAUGUUUCAUCCAAAGUUAAAAGAGGGAAAAAAUUGGGUUAUACACGCCCCACUUAAUCCGAACAGACCUCCAAAUCCAACGCGCCGUUUUUUUCUAUAAAUAGAUUACAGAAACUGAUAAAUGAUAGCUGGGCCUCAGUCAUUUACGGCCCAUUAAAACCGACUCUGCAGAGACGAUUUUUCUAUAAAUAGAUUACAGAAACCGAUAAAUGAUAGUUGGGCCUCAGUCAUUUACGGCCCAUUAAAACCGACUCUGCGGAGACGAUUUUUCUAUAAAUACAGAGCUUAGGGCAUCGAAAUCCCUCUUUGCUCGUUCCUCUCAUCGCGAAGAGACGAGAGAAAUCCAGAUCUGGUCGUCUCCAAAAAAAAACCAAACGAAAAAAAAAAAAUUAGCUCAAGUAGACUGUUAACUUACUCAUUUGAAAGAAAGGGAAACACCAAUUGGGGUUUAAUUUCAAUUUGAAUCCUCCUCUUUCAAUCCACGUUCUAGGGUUCUCGAUUCUUUCGAAUCCGUCUUUGAUCGGAGCUCCGCCGCCAUGGAUACGCGGUUCCCGUUCUCUCCGGCCGAGGUCUCCAAAGUCCGUGUGGUCCAGUUUGGGAUUCUCAGCCCCGAUGAGAUCGUAAUCCUCCUUUCUCUAGCUUAUUACUCCGCCCUCAAUUAGAGGGGGAAGUGUGUAGUAAUGGAGUUGAUAGGCUAAUGGAAUUUUUAUUUUGCAGAGGCAAAUGUCUGUUAUACACGUGGAGCAUAGCGAGACAACGGAGAAGGGAAAACCUAAGGUGGGAGGGUUGAGUGAUACUCGGCUUGGAACGAUUGAUAGGAAGGUGAAGUGUGAGACUUGUAUGGCUAACAUGGCUGAGUGCCCUGGGCAUUUUGGGCAUCUUGAGCUCGCUAAGCCUAUGUAUCACGUUGGUUUCAUGAAGACCGUGUUGAGUAUCAUGCGUUGUGUUUGCUUCAACUGCUCCAAGAUCCUAGCUGAUGAGGUGUGAACGAAUGUCAAUAUGUGAUUAUGAUUAUUAGAGAGGGAGGAUAGAUUGGAACUGUAUGAGUAUUUUUUUAAUCCAAUUUGUUUGUUUUUUUUUCGUGAAGGAUGAGCAUAAGUUUAAGCAGGCCAUGAAGAUUAAGAAUCCCAAGAAUAGGCUUAAGAAGAUUCUGGAUGCUUGCAAAAACAAGACCAAGUGUGAAGGUGGUGAUGACAUUGAUGAUGUUCAGACCCAAGACACAGACGAGCCUGUGAAGAAAAGCCGUGGUGGAUGUGGUGCAACGCAACCUAAGAUCACUAUUGAGGGAAUGAAGAUGAUUGCAGAGUUUAAGGUUACAAAGAAGAAAAACGAUGAGAUAGACCAGCUUCCCGAGCCUGCAGAAAGGAAACAAACACUUGGUGCUGACAGGGUUCGUCUCUUUUCUUUCCAUUUCUAAUGUACCAUUUCCCUUCAUGUUUGGGGUAAUCUGAUGGCAUGUGAAAUUCUUGCAGGUUUUGAGUGUUUUAAAGAGGAUUAGUGAUGAGGAUUGUCAGCUCUUAGGGUUCAACCCUAAGUAUGCUCGGCCUGACUGGAUGAUUCUAGAAGUCCUUCCUAUUCCUCCACCCCCUGUUAGACCAUCUGUUAUGAUGGAUGCCACUUCCAGGAGUGAGGCAAGUCUGGCUUUUCUUUACCGAAUAAAAAAGUUGCUUAGCUCCUAGUGGUGAUUUAGUCUGACGGGAAAAUAUUAUCUUCAUUUUCGACUAUGCCAACUGAUUGUGUCUCGCCUUGUUCAUGCUUCUUGUUGAUGCAGGAUGACUUGACUCAUCAGCUAGCUAUGAUUAUUCGGCACAACGAGAACUUGAAAAGACAGGAAAAGAACGGAGCCCCAGCUCACAUUAUUUCAGAGUUUACACAACUCCUGCAGUUUCAUAUAGCAACCUAUUUUGAUAAUGAGCUGCCUGGACAGCCAAGAGCUACUCAAAAAUCAGGGAGGCCUAUUAAAUCAAUUUGUAGUAGGCUGAAGGCAAAGGAAGGCAGGAUCAGGGGAAAUUUGAUGGGAAAACGUGUGGAUUUCUCGGCACGUACUGUUAUUACACCAGAUCCAACAAUAAACAUCGAUGAACUUGGUGUACCGUGGAGUAUUGCCCUGAAUCUCACAUACCCAGAAACAGUUACUCCAUACAACAUUGAGAGGUUAGUAUGUUUGGCGUUUAUUUUAUAUAAAGAGAGUCUUCCUCCAUGUUUUGUUGACAAUAUUUCAUUGGCAGAUUGAAGGAGCUUGUUGAUUAUGGACCACAUCCUCCACCUGGCAAGACUGGGGCGAAAUAUAUCAUUCGAGAUGAUGGCCAGAGACUAGAUCUUCGGUACCUUAAGAAGAGCAGUGAUCAUCAUUUGGAACUUGGAUACAAAGUGGAGAGGCACUUAAUUGAUGGCGAUUUUGUUCUUUUCAAUCGUCAACCAAGUCUGCACAAAAUGUCUAUCAUGGGUCACAGGAUUAGGAUCAUGCCAUAUUCCACCUUCCGUCUGAAUUUGUCUGUCACCUCUCCUUACAAUGCUGAUUUCGAUGGGGAUGAGAUGAACAUGCACGUACCACAGUCAUUCGAGACCAGAGCCGAGGUGUUGGAGCUGAUGAUGGUUCCUAAAUGUAUAGUCUCUCCUCAGGCAAAUCGGCCUGUGAUGGGUAUUGUGCAGGAUACCCUUCUAGGAUGCCGUAAAAUCACAAAAAGAGAUACCUUUAUUGAGAAGGUAAUCAUUUCUUUAGCGAUUACUUGCUGUAGUUCUCUCUGUGUUAAUUAAAAGUAACCUAAUUCCUCUGCUGAUAUCUUUUCCAUGUACAGGAUGUAUUCAUGAAUACGCUUAUGUGGUGGCAAGACUUCGAUGGGAAAGUUCCAGCUCCUACAAUUCUGAAGCCACGACCUCUUUGGACUGGCAAACAAGUCUUCAAUCUUAUCAUACCAAAGCAGAUAAAUCUGUUCAGGUACUCUGCUUGGCACUCAGAUGCAGAGACUGGAUACAUAACGCCAGGGGAUACCCAAGUGAGAAUUGAAAGAGGAGAACUUCUUGCCGGAACUCUCUGCAAAAAGACCCUUGGUACCGGUAAUGGGAGUCUCGUUCAUGUUAUUUGGUAAGUUGCUGCAUCCUGUUCACUUGACACCAAAAAAUUAACAUCAAGAUAUUGCAGUGUUGAUCGUGGUUUGUUUACAUUUUUCUUUUCUUGGUUUAUAGGGAAGAGGUUGGUCCUGAUGCAGCUAGGAAGUUCCUCGGUCAUACUCAAUGGCUGGUCAACUACUGGCUUCUGCAGAAUGGUUUUACCAUUGGAAUCGGUGAUACUAUUGCUGAUUCGCAAACAAUGGAGAAAAUUAAUGAGACUAUUUCUUGUGCAAAAACCGCCGUGAAAGACCUUAUCCGUCAGUUCCAGGAAAAGAAAUUAGAUCCUGAACCGGGGCGAACUAUGACAGAGACUUUUGAGAACAGAGUUAACCAGGUACGUUAAUGUCUUGAUAAUAAUUUUCAUUUGGUGCGUGUCUGAUAUGAAUGACUCCUUAUUAAGCUAAAAGCAAGUAACCGUAGUUCAUUAGGAAUAAUCAUGGUUUAGUUACUUUAUCCUUUGUCUAUGAGAGAGGUUGAGAUUUGUUAGCGAGAGGAAGAGAGAAUUGUAACAAAGAUCUCUGUAUUUCGUUAAUCAUAAGCGCUCUUCUUUAUUGAUCUUUGUCAUUUACAACGUUUGAUAACCUAAACGUAUCAGUGUCACUGAGUUUCUUACGUAUUCUGACUCAUAAACUGCUCUUGUAGGUUUUGAAUAAAGCUCGUGACGAUGCUGGAAGUAGUGCUCAAAAGAGUUUAGCAGAAACCAAUAACCUGAAGGCCAUGGUGACAGCAGGAUCCAAAGGAAGUUUCAUCAAUAUUUCUCAGAUGACAGCGUGUGUUGGUCAGCAAAAUGUGGAAGGGAAGCGGAUCCCAUUUGGAUUUGAUGGCCGGACGUUACCGCAUUUCACCAAAGAUGACUAUGGUCCUGAAAGUCGUGGGUUUGUCGAGAAUUCAUACUUGCGUGGGCUGACUCCUCAAGAGUUCUUUUUCCAUGCCAUGGGAGGAAGGGAAGGUCUUAUUGAUACUGCCGUGAAGACAUCAGAAACUGGAUACAUUCAGAGGCGAUUGGUCAAGGCUAUGGAGGAUAUUAUGGUCAAGUAUGAUGGGACAGUCAGAAACUCGUUGGGUGAUGUCAUUCAGUUUCUCUAUGGGGAAGAUGGUAUGGAUGCUGUGUGGAUAGAAUCUCAGAAGCUGGAUUCCUUGAAAAUGAAGAAAGCAGAGUUUGAUAGGACGUUCAAGUACGAGAUUGACGACGAGAACUGGAAUCCUACAUACCUAAGUGAUGAACAUCUUGAGGACUUGAAAGGGAUCAGGGAGUUGCGUGAUGUAUUUGAUGCAGAAUAUCAGAAGCUCGAGGCUGAUAGAUUUCAACUCGGGACUGAAAUUGCUACAAAUGGUGAUAGCACUUGGCCAUUACCUGUGAACAUCAAGAGGCAUAUCUGGAAUGCACAGAAGACUUUCAAGAUUGACUUGCGCAAGAUUUCGGAUAUGCACCCUGUUGAGAUUGUUGAUGCAGUUGAUAAAUUACAGGAGAGGCUGUUGGUGGUUCCUGGUGAAGAUGGAUUGAGUGUAGAAGCACAGAAAAAUGCCACACUGUUCUUCAACAUUUUGCUUCGAAGCACUCUUGCUAGUAAAAGGGUUUUGGAGGAAUACAAGCUCAGCCGUGAGGCUUUUGAGUGGGUUAUUGGUGAGAUAGAGUCAAGGUUCUUACAGUCGCUUGUAGCUCCCGGGGAAAUGAUCGGUUGUGUUGCUGCUCAGUCAAUUGGAGAGCCUGCUACGCAGAUGACUUUGAAUACUUUCCAUUAUGCUGGUGUCAGUGCGAAGAAUGUUACACUCGGUGUUCCCAGGCUGCGAGAGAUUAUUAACGUCGCUAAAAGGAUUAAAACACCUUCCCUAUCUGUCUACCUCACACCAGAAGCUAGCAAAUCAAAAGAGGGGGCUAAAACUGUUCAGUGCGCUUUGGAAUAUACUACUCUCAGGAGUGUCACUCAAGCUACGGAGGUUUGGUAUGACCCGGAUCCGAUGAGUACCAUUAUCGAAGAAGAUUUUGAAUUUGUGAGGUCCUACUAUGAAAUGCCAGAUGAAGAUGUCUCUCCAGAUAAAAUAUCUCCUUGGCUGCUUCGUAUUGAGUUGAAUCGUGAAAUGAUGGUUGACAAGAAGUUGAGUAUGGCAGAUAUAGCAGAGAAGAUCAACCUGGAGUUUGAUGAUGACCUGACCUGCAUAUUUAAUGAUGACAAUGCGGAGAAACUGAUCCUUCGGAUCCGGAUUAUGAAUGACGAGGGAGCCAAAGGAGAAGCGCAAGAUGAAUCAGCUGAAGAUGAUGUUUUCCUUAAAAAGAUUGAGAGCAACAUGCUGACAGAAAUGGCGCUCAGGGGCAUUCCAGACAUCAACAAGGUGUUCAUUAAGCAGGUUAGAAAAAGCAAGUUUGAUGAGGAUGAAGGAUUCAAGACAUCGGAGGAGUGGAUGUUAGAUACAGAAGGCGUUAAUCUGCUGGCUGUUAUGUGCCACGAAGAUGUGGAUCCAAAGAGGACAACAAGCAAUCACUUGAUUGAGAUUAUUGAAGUUCUUGGAAUUGAAGCAGUUCGUCGUGCUUUGUUGGAUGAGCUUCGAGUUGUGAUAUCCUUUGAUGGCUCUUAUGUGAAUUACCGCCAUCUUGCCAUAUUGUGUGAUACAAUGACCUAUCGAGGUCAUCUGAUGGCGAUCACUCGACAUGGUAUCAACAGAAAUGAUACUGGGCCUCUGAUGAGGUGCUCAUUUGAAGAAACUGUCGAUAUUCUGCUGGAUGCUGCAGCUUAUGCUGAGACAGACUGCUUGCGUGGUGUUACCGAAAAUAUUAUGCUCGGCCAGCUUGCACCUAUUGGAACAGGAGACUGCGAACUCUAUCUGAAUGAUGAGAUGCUGAAGAAUGCAAUUGAACUUCAGCUCCCUAGCUAUAUGGAUGGACUGGAGUUUGGAAUGACUCCUGCUCGCUCACCAAUGUCAGGAACUCCUUAUCAUGAAAGCAUGAUGUCCCCAAACUACCUCCUGAGUCCAAAUAUGCGGUUGUCUCCAAUGUCAGAUGCUCAGUUUUCUCCAUAUGUUGGUGGAAUGGCGUUUUCUCCUUCUUCAUCUCCAGGCUACAGCCCAUCUUCUCCUGGUUACAGUCCUACUUCUCCUGGUUACAGUCCGACUUCACCUGGAUACAGUCCGACUUCUCCUGGCUAUAGUCCCACUUCUCCCACGUACAGUCCUAGUUCUCCUGGCUAUAGCCCAACUAGCCCUGCUUAUUCUCCAACAAGUCCUUCAUAUUCUCCCACCUCCCCUAGCUACAGCCCAACGUCUCCUAGCUAUAGCCCAACGUCUCCAAGCUACAGUCCAACGUCUCCAAGCUACAGCCCAACAUCCCCGAGUUACAGUCCAACUUCACCUGCUUACAGUCCAACUUCUCCUGCAUACAGCCCAACGUCACCUGCAUACAGCCCUACCUCUCCAUCUUACAGUCCAACUUCACCAUCUUACAGUCCGACAUCGCCUUCUUACAGCCCUACUUCACCCUCCUACAGUCCAACAUCUCCUUCUUACAGUCCUACUUCACCUGCAUACAGCCCUACAUCUCCUGGGUACAGCCCUACAUCUCCAAGCUACAGUCCAACGUCUCCUAGUUACGGUCCGACGUCUCCAAGCUACAACCCUCAGUCUGCUAAAUACAGUCCAUCUCUGGCUUACUCCCCUAGCAAUGCAAGACUAUCACCAGCUAGCC
rnacentral:lncRNA from 1 species